rnacentral:lncRNA from 1 species
CCGGAAUGAGUAAUGGGCCUUCACCUCACAGAGGCACAAAUUAGGGUUUCAGAGGCGCUCCUUCCCCUAUAAAGCUCAAAAAAACUCCCAAGCUUUAUCAUCAAGUAUUCUUAACCCAGCCUUUUAUUUGCUUCAAUGGUGUUCACCGUUUCUCUGUUCACAUUGGCGUAAUUGUUUUACUUUCUCUUCUUUUCUGUUUUACUUGCACGUAGCCUCCCGGGCUCAUCUGAGUUUACAAAGUGAAGUUAGAAGCCCCAAAGCUCGUGCUAAAUUUAACCGCCGCUAGUGUUGCAGUUUAGCCCUUUGUACCUUCUAUUCAUGGCUAAUUUGUGUCAAAUCAACGGCAAAAUCCUCAGAAAAUUCUCUAAUUUCUUAGAAUUUGGCGAUGAUUAAAACGGAUUUAUCCGCGCUUCUGAGAGAAAUCGAUGAAGCAUAACAUAAAUUGGUUGAAUUUCUUGAUAUGAGCUAGAUUCAUCAUUCUUUUUUUCAUUACAUAUUUUGGCAGUGAUGAUUUCUAAUACAGCUUUAAUGCCAGUUCUGCUUCUGAUAUUCUGUGAUUGAUAGAGCUGUUUAUACUACUGAGCCUCUUAAUCUCAUUUUAGUUAAUCCUUUUUCUUUGUUUAUAUUUAAAUCUAUGACGAGAUCUGAAAUUGCUGGAUAGUAUUUGAGAUUGCAACUAGCAUUCAUCAUGAAAUUAUUUAAUUUCUCCGAGAUUCAUAAAUUUGCCGAUGAUGAUCCAAUCCAACGGUGAGGUGUAGUGGAUCUAAGGUCCCUGCUUUUGCAGGGGGAACCUCCUUAUUUUCACUACAUCAAUCAUGAUCACAACGGAUUUUACUGAGGCUUUUUUCAUAGUUUUGUUCUUAAUUUUUUUUGAGUUUUAACUAUACUCUUGCUCUUGAAUAUAUUAGUGGGUUUAGGGUCUGAAAAACUCGAAAAAUUAGUGCUGUUUAUCAGCUUCUUCUCUUGAAUAAUUCAACGAGAUGGAGUUAAAUCAUGGCACUAAAUGUUUAUAAAUUUUUUGUAAUGCAUUGAGUUUUACUCCAUUUGUAUUAUGCUCACUUUUGUGGUUGAGUGUAAAUGAAAACUCAUAAAUUGCGUGCAGUCCAUCACCUCCUAUCUUGCAUAUUUCACUAAGAUUGGAGUUAAAUAUCAGCACUACAUGUUUGUAAAAUUGACUAUUAAAUGUUUGAACAAUUUCAUUUUUAUAAUUUCACUAACUGUAACUAAAAUUUGUUUUAUAAAACCAAACAAUACUAGCAGGACAACUUGUAUAAGGAGUAUUGAUGAAAUGUUGCGCGCAACACAAAUCCUAGUUGUGAUAAUGAGUAUUGAUGAAAUGUUGCGCGCAACACAAAUAUAAUAUGAGGCAUUAAGAUAUUUCACUUUUAUUAAUACCUAAUUUGCACGACUAUUAUUGUUUAUUUAUGAUGGUUAAUUGUGUUGUGUAUUGUGGAAGACAAACUUGUGCAAAAAUGAAUAAGAAGAAAGGUGGCAUGAAAUCAGUCGAUGAGAAAAGAAAAGAACAAUCUAAAACUGAUUGUGUGCCCUUAAGAAUUAAGAAUUUUAAGAAGCAGUAGUAAUUUAAACUUCGAUAACUUUAACAAAUGCAAACAAUAGCAACAUAGACUUGUGUUUAGGAAGAAAAUAUAUCUAAAAGAAUGAAAAAUAACUCUUUGGAAAAGGCCCAAGGCACAAUUGAUGAUAAAUUAUCAUGCAGUUGCCUUUUGAAGAUUGUCUAAAAAUCAAUAAGGGUAGCCUUGUUUGCCAUUGAUGAUGAGGUAAUAAUCACCUUUCACAACAACACUAUGAGAGCGAAAGUCUUGCGUAGCCAUUGAUGACAAGGUGAUCACCUUUCACAACACUAUGAGAGUGGAAGUACAGUUCAAUAAAAUGUUCAUAAUCAUCUGGUAUCUAAGUUCAUUUUGUAUCUAAUUUUGCGGAUCUAAAUCUCACCAGACCUCCCCCUUCCCAAAUUCACUGUUGCAUCUCCUAAAAUAUAAAAAAAAUCAAGAAAAAAAGUCUCAAGAAAUCAAAUACAAACCAACCAGAGGGGAUUUGCACUAUUUUGAGGGAUGAAAAACCCUUUUCCAUUGCCUCUUUUGCUGCCUCUUUUCACUCAUUAAUAUCCUCGUCUAUGCAACUUAUGAGGAAAAAUAGAGCAUCACUCCAUAUGAAGUGAUCCAAUCUUUGUUGCAUAACACACUUGAACAAAAGUUCAACUACUUAAAAAUAGCAAUUUUGGCAUUCUGCUAAAAAAUAUUCUAAGUACCUGGCAAAAGUCACUGUUGGAGAACUUUAGCUGAUUGUUAACCAACUGAAAGAAUGGGAGAAAAAAAAUGCACAAACGAAAAAGGGCAAAAGACUAUCAAGAAAAUAGCCUCUGCAUUUCUAAUAUGAACAUGUCAACUGCUGGAGUUACAAAGGCUCCAAUUGGAAAGAAAAAAAAGGUGACUAAGACCAUUCAAAAAAUAUCACCUCCCUCAUUUACCAAUAGACAAUAUAUAGUCAGAUCACUAGAAGUGCGUCAAUUUGUUGAAUUUUGUUCCACCUUAUUGCGGAAUAUAUGCACCUUCAGUAUAAGUUCAUCAGCCUGAAUGUCCUUGAUCAACUCAAAGACACAAGCAUCUCCUAACACUAAACUAUUAUCCCUAACAAAAUGUACCCAUCCUUUGCUUAGAAACAUACACGUUUUCCUCCUAAGGCAAUGUGCAGUCCACUUACUGCCAUCAGAAUUUUGAAGUUUAAUUGGUUCUGAAGUCUUUGGCAUAUAAUCUCGGCUAAAAUCAGGUGGGAUAUUCUGCAGAUUAGGACAAAUUGCGAAGUAUGUGUCAAGAUUCAAUAAGAAUGUUAAAUUAGUUUUUACAUGAGCAAAGAACAUAUUAAGAUACAAAGAAGUUUCAGCCAAAAAAAACAAAAAAAUCAGACACCUUUAGUUUAUUGUAUAGGUAGACAGGCUCACCAGAAUAUAGUUCCGCACCACGUGAUAUUCUCCAAGAGUUAUCAUGAAGUAAGGAUUCUCUGGCGUAAACAUUUUGGCAGCAGUAGUUGCGCUGUUUCCUUUUGCAUCCCUUAGUCGUCUUCCUUUACGACGAUUACCAGAGCUUCCAUGCACUACGGAUUUCUCCUCUUGCUGUCUAGAUGAAUUCUCUGUAUCUGCAAUUCAUCAAAUUAGCUCUCAGUGAUGCAGAUAAGUUUUUCGAGCUUCAGAUAUUCUGUUGGCUAAACAAACUAACCAGUGUUUGCUUCUGCAUCCCUUGGUCGUCCUCUUUUACGACGAUUACCAGAGCUUCCAUGCACUACGGAUUUCUCCUGUUGCUGCCCGAAUGAAUUCUCUGUAUCUGCAAUUCGUCAAAUUAGCUCCCAGUGAUGCAGAUAAGUUUUUCAAGCUUCAGAUUUUAUGUUGGUUAAACAAACUAACCAGUGUUUGCUUCUGCAUCCAUUGGUCGUCCUCUUUUACGACGAUUACCAGAGCUUCCAUGCACUACGGAUUUCUCCUGUUGCUGCCCGAAUGAAUUCUCUGUAUCUGCAAUUCGUCAAAUUAGCUCUCAGUGAUGCUGAUAAGUUUUUCGAGCUUCAGAUUUUAUGUUGGUUAAACAAACAAACCAGUCUUGUGAUUGGUUCUAUCUGAAGAUAAUGGUUCGAAUGCAUCUGAACUCUUUGUAUGCUUACUUUCAUCGAACUGAAGUACACAGUUUUUACCAGUAGACAGAGUUUGUUCAAAUAGGCUACCAGUGUGUAAAUUUUUUGAAUUUUCUUCCACCCUAUUGCGAAACAUGUGCACCUUCAGUAUUAAUGCAACAGCCUGAAAGUUCUUGAGCAACUCAAAGACGCAAACAUCUCCUACCAGUAAACUAUUAUCCGUAACAAAGUUCAACCAUCCUUUGCUUAGAAGCACCCGAAGUUUCCUCCUAAUGCAACGGACUUUCCACUUAUUUCCAUCAGUAUCUUGAAGUUCAAUCAGUUCUGAAGUCUUUGGCAUAUACUUCCGGACAAACUCAACUGGUAUAUUCUGCAGAUUAUGACGCGUUGUGAAGUAUGCAUCAAGAAGAAUGAAAGAUUAGUAUGCAUGAGUAUGAAUAUAUUGAGAUACAAUGCAGUUUAAAGAAGAAAAAAAUGACACGUUCAGUUUAAUGUAUAGGUACAAAGGCUCACCAGAAUAUAGUUCCGUUCUACGUUGUAUUUUUCAAGAAUCUGCAAGAAAUAAGGAUUUUCUGGAAUGAACAUUUUGGCAGUUUGAAUGGCCCUGCUUGUUUCUGAUACCUUUUGUUGUGCUCUUUCGCGACGAUCAUACCUUCCACGCCCUAAAGAUUUCUCCCGUUGCUUGCUCGUGAACAAUUUCCUUGUACCUGCAUUUAUCAAAUUAGAUCUCAAUAUGAUGCAGAGAAAUUUUCAAGCUUACAAUAUUUGGUUAGAAAACAAACUAGCUGGUUUUGCAAUUGGUUUUAUUUGAAGAUACUGAUACAAAUUCAUCUGGAAUCUCCAUAUAUUUACUUUCAUUGAAAUGAAGUACUUUGUUUUACUUCUCUCUUGUUCAUUAUUUGGAUUAGUCAUACCUCCAGUUGCCACUGCAGAGUGUAUAGGAGUUUUAAUACUUCGCCGAACAGAUUUUCCACCUACUGGCUUAGUUAAACUGCCAUUGCCCGAUAUGUUCAAAUUCUUCGCAUUUAAUAGCUGUCCGUUAUCAUGUAAUUUGUUUGUUUUGCUUCUUGUUUCAUAGCAGCGUGUAAUCUUAAUCUUUCCAGAUGCUAUUUUACGUCUUUUGGCUCUAUGCGGAAGUUCAGAUGACUUAGCUGAACUCUCUGGUCCCUGCUCAGUUUCCAAAAGAUCCACAAUUUCAAUGGAGCUCGUGAAGCCAUUAUCACCAACAAUUUUAUCCUUUCUGUGAGAAAGAUCCUGAGCAACAUCACGUGAUUUAGCAUAACCAUGACUCCUAAGUUGAUAAUCAAUCUCAGUAGCGGCUAGGUCAAAUAUGUGGACAUUGAAACAUGAGGUCUGUCCAUAUUUGAAGAGUAAAAAGUACCAACAGUUGACAGAAUGAUGUUCCAUAAACUCUUGCCAACCAUCAUGAAGCCAAAUCAUUUUACCAGCCUUCUUCAGGCCCACACACCAGAAAUCAUCAGUGGGAACAAUAAUCUUGACGGUAUCAAGGAGUUCAUCUCCAUGUUCCCGGACAAAUUUGUCUGGCAACCGCUGCACACACAAACAACAAACAUAGAUUUUUCAAAUUAAGAUCAGACAUAAGUUAUAACCAUUUAAGACAUAAAAUUGUAGUGCAGAAUUAUAAAACUAAUUAGAACGAUGCAACACAAAAGUUUUACCAAUUUCGAAUUGAGUGCUCAUGUACAGCAAGCAGAAAAACAAUCUUAACAAAUAAGCAGGAGCCACGAGACUAGAAGAAUAUGGCUGACAAUCUCAAGAAUUCGACCAGUACCAACAGUGUAAUCUAAAGCCAAAAACUAGCCAAUUUUCCAUAGAUUCUGAAGAAUCCAUAUCCGAAACUACACCACAAGUAUUAACUAUGUAUGUAUCCUUGUUUCUGUUCUAUUAUCAACCAUAGAUUAUCCAUUAUUGCUUUGUUAUAAAAGGAGAUUCUAAGUAACUUAAGGAAGGGUUACAGGUUCAGCAAAAACCAGUAACUUUAGCUGAAACUCUCAUAUGGAUAAAUAAUCUAUCAAAAAUCCAGUAAGACAAACUAUGGCGGUGAAGUACAGUAGUUUUAAACCACCUAAAAAUCGUACUGAAACUUCAUAUGAGAAAACCUAAACUAGACACCAAGAUUCUAAGCUAACUAAUAUUGUCUGGUUCAUAUAUUACAGUUUAUGAGUUCUAACUUCUACAUACACCACUAGAUCACCUAAAAGAUAAUUAGGUGAACUGUUCAAAAUAAGUAUGAAAGUACUAACCCAUAAAAUAAAGGUAAUACAUAAAUAAACACUCGAACUUAGUAAACACUCCAACUUCGAGAUCGAGAGUACAUAUAUAGACAUUCUCGACCUGCAACUAAACACUCUAACUUGUCCCUAUGAUGCUAAUACCUAUAUGAUUAUUUUGUAAAUUGGAGCGUUGAUGAGUUAAUUGUCUAUAUUUGCACUCAAAAUUGGAGCUUUAUCAAGUUUGAAAAUUUCGAUUGUGCAUAAAAAUAAAGCAUUCAAUCAAAUUGAUACAGCAAAUUAAAUCAGUAGAAUGUGCCCUAAAUUCUCUGUACUAUUGUAGUAACAACUUACAAGUUGACGAUCAUCCAUGACAGAGGGCUCAACAAUGACGUAGAAACUGCCGGCCGAGUAGGAGUUGGAGCAAGAUUCCAUCAUCACGCCGCAUGCACUGACCGAUUUUCCGGUUGGCCAGUUUUUUUUUACCCUUUGGCUAAAAUUAAAGGGUACAAUCUGUUCGUUUAAUAUAGGACAACUUUGAUAUAUAGCAAAUAAAAUAUUUAUAUUUGUAUGCUAUAGUAUACAUAGGUUCAUAAAUUGGCAUUACUCUUUUAAUAUCAAAUAAGUGGGCCAUAAAUUUAUUUAAUAUCUGAUAAAUAAGUUAUUAUUCGUUUAAUAUCUAAUAAGUGAAUCAUCGUCGAGCAGCUUACCACUCUGGCCUUUACGUGUAGGAUACUGUAGAAGAUUUUUCGGCUUUUAAAAUUGAAAGGAUAUAUAGGAUAUAUAUUCCCAUGAAUAACAAAAUAUAUUGUUAACUAUAGGUAAUUAAAAAUAAAUUUCUUUGCCGAAAUAUUUUAUGAGAAACUUUCACAUAUAGUCACUUAGAAAUAAUUAAUUAUUCUUCAAAGCUAUAGUUUAAUAAUUACAAUUUGUACCUAUAUGUUAUAUGGAGGAGAAAGGUGAGCGUGACUGGGAGAGAGAGGCGAGAGAGGGGAAAAGAGUGGGAGAAAAGUGACUUGUAUAUGCAUAUUGAUUAGAUAAUUGUACAUUAUACAUAUGUAUUUGUAUAUAUGACAAGAAAGAUCGGAAGAGGAGGAGAGAGACGAGCGAGAUCUAAAGAGGAAGGAGAGAGGCGAGCGAGAGAGGGCAGAGAGUGAGAGAGAUGUGAAUUGUAUAUGUAUAUAGGUUAAAAAAAUUGUAUAUAAUACAUAUGUAUUUGUAUACUCUGGCGAAUUAUACAUAUACAAACGUGACUAAUUAUACAAACUCGAAGUCAACCAACGUAAUUAAUGUAUAAUGUUAGUCGCGAGUGACAAUUAUAGCAAACUAUAGCUAUGGUGAGUAGUAAUUUAUAGCGUAAUUUUCUCAUAUUUUAAUUUCUCUGUUUUAAUGUAUUAGUGUUGGUGGAUUGAGCUCCUCUCCAGAUAUGAAUUCCUUCGGUUCUUUUAUUAUCCCUUUAAUAAUUUGACAUAUGUCAUACAAUAGUCUAAUGGCUCAAAUUUGUUUGAUAAACUAAAAAAAUUUAUCAUAGUUAAUAUUUAUCUCACUUCCUUUCUGUUCUUAAAAUCCUUUUGUCUCUGUCAUAGUUUAUUUUUUCAAAUUCUAUUUUGCAGCAAAUCAACAAUAUAUUUUUAGAUUUUUUUUCUAUUGUUGAUAUUUGAGACUUUGAAUUCAUUUUAUUAUUAAUCAUUGAUAAUUUUUCAAUUGAUGCCUCUCUCACAAAGUUUAAUUGAAAUUUUUCGAGUCAGAGCCCAUCAUUGGUUUUUACCUUUUCGUCUCAAAAACUUAUAUCAGUUUUUAUAUGCUAUUUUUUUUUAAAGAAGUGUUUUCUCUGUCACUCUUACGGAACGACUUGGCAAUAAAUCCUAGAUAUUUUUCAAAUUUUAGCUUCUUUGAAACUCCCUUUUUGCAACUUAUUUUCAUUUAUUUUGUUGGAUUAGUUAAUAUCUGUAUAUCAAAUUUUUCAAUAUCAGACUUAGUUAAAGAAAAGAAAUAUGUAGAAAUGGUGGAAGAAGAAAAUUAAAUAUGAUAGAAGAAGAAAAUAUCAAAAACAUUCUUCGACACAUGAACUCAUGAAUAAUGAAAAGAGUCGCAAUUAUAAGUAAUGCAAUGAAAUCGAAUGAAUAAUACAUUUUUUUAUUAAAAAAAAUAUACAUAUCAUUUUCCAGAAAGUUAAUGAUUUUUUAAAAAAGAUUUGGAAAUUGGGAGAAAAGUUUUUUUUCUUUUUAAGUAAUGUGAGGAAAAAAUUUUAAGGAGCCAAAUUCAUAAUAAACUACGAUAGAUAAGAAAGGAUUUUAAGUAAAAAAAAAAAAGUGAGAAAAAUAUUAAUUAUGUUAAAACUCUUUAGUUAAUCAAAUAAAUACUGGCAAUUAGAGAUUGGAAGAGAUUCAUUACUGGAGAGGAGUUAAAUCCAGUUUGAUUUGAUAUGUAGCUUUAAAGAAAAAAAAAUUAUUUUAUAAUUUUAAAUUAAUAAUAUACAUAUAAAUAUAUCGUGUUUUAAUCUUGUAAUUUUAAAUUUAAAGUUAAAAAUAAAAAGUUACAUAAAAAAUAUUUCAUGAUCGAACUAUUUAACCGUAGUGAUUUUCUAUAUUAAUUAAGGGAUUGAUACGUAUACUAGCACCAAAAAUGAAAUGUAUGAUGAUCAUUUAUAGCUUCUUUCUCAAUUUUGAACUAUAAAAGUUCUUCUCAUAAGAUUUCGCACAUUAUAAUAUUAAUCUGGUAUAUUAUUAGUAUCUUAUUUGAUGUUUUUUUCUAAUUUAUGUAUAUGUAAUAUUUGCAUUAGUUAUAUACUAUAUUGUAAUGUGUAUUAAAGUGUGUAUUGCUCAUACUAAGGAUUUUUAUGUAGUAGCAAUGUAAUGGUUUUGAUACAUGCAUUAAAAUGAUGAAAGACUCAAUUGCCCCUCAAGACCCUUUUUACAUUUUUUCUGCCAUAGUAGUGGAGGGUAUCUUUGUAAAUUAUUUUUUAUGCAAUAUAUGCUUUUUUUAUGCAUCAAACCACACAAUGCAUAAAAAUAAUUUAUACAUAAUUAAUGCAAACAUAACUAAUACAUGCAUGGCAAUGCAAGCAUAACUAAUUCAUUUCAUUUAAUAUUAUUCUUAUACACUCUAUCAAACGAGUAUAAAUGUAUUGGAAUAUUAAAAACUAAUUUAAUUUUUAAGUAAUCAACAAUAGAAAGAAAUUUGCUUUUUAUGUGACCUGACAUUUCGAUGAGUACCAAUUUUUCCCUUAAGUUAUACAACAUAUAUUCACUUUAAUCACUGAAAUAAAAUCUUUACGUUACGUUACAUUAAAUGUAUAUAGUAUGGUUACAAGUCAAAACGUCCAAAGAAUAAAUAAAAAAAAUUAAAACCCAAAACAAUGAAAAGGAAAGUUCUUUUUUCAAUGGGGUAAAAAAUUCUUAAAAGUAAAAUUUGAAUAGAUUCGAAAAUGGUCAAUGAGCAAAUUAGGAUAACUCAAUCCCUUAAUUUAUGGGUUGGAUAUUAUUUUAUUUAAAACAACAGUAUAAUCUUCCAAAUAUAACAUUCCUUUGGAGCUCUAUAUAAGAGUUGUACAUGUGUAACAAUUAUCAUAAACAAUUCAUCUUUUGAAAUAUUAUACAAAAAAGUUAAAAAAAAUGAUGAAGAGCUACAUUGUUUUUUCUUUCCUCUCCUUGGCAAUAUUUCUCACUUUUUUUCAACCUGCCUUAGGUAAGUACUUUUUUUUUUUACAAUUUAUAUUCAACUUACAUUGCCUUUUUUUAAUUUCUUUUAAUAAUUUUGAUUAAUGUGUAUAUGCAUUUUUCGUGUUUUAGUGUCAGGUGAAAUUAAAUUUUGUCCGGGAACUUUCGAGGCUAAUGAUAUCUGUGAUAAAAUAAGAUGCGGAUAUCUAGCUCUGUUUAAAUGGCGAGUGAGUAAGAUGCCUCAGAAUUGUAAAUGUGCUCCUGCUGGAAAGAAGCAUAGCACUUGCACAUGUAUGAUAGUUUGCGAUGCAUAAUUGUAAUAGCAAGUAAAAAAAGUAUAUUGUAUGGUUUUGAUGUGGAUAACAUUAAAUAUGUGUCGACUGAUUAUGAAUAAACGUUACAAAAAUUUAUCUUUUUUAAUGUUCAAUCUUAAUAUCUUUUGUAUUAAUUCGAGCUUAUAUUUUCAACCUUCUUCUUAUACGGUUGUUUAUGCAUAAGGAUUCAAAAUAUAAAAAUCAAAUGCUUGAGAUUUGAAUUUGAAUUCGAAACCUCAAUAUAAGGUUUGAUCAUCCCCAAUCACCAAGUCAGUUUCUAAUCUUAUGUUUCAAGAGAUUCACGAUUUACAUAUAUAUAUAUAUAUAUAUAUAUAUAUAUAUAUAUAACGUUUGUCUUAACAAGGAUUUGAAAGAUAAUAAUACACAGUUUCUCAUAUAUUGGCACAAUUAGGGAAAAUUUAUAUUAUUGUCAUUCUCCAAUGAUUUAUAACGUGAACGCUCCUGUUUUUUUUUUUAUGUAAUGUAAUAAGUAAUAAUCAUCUAAUUAAGAUUUAGUAACUAAAAUAUAUAAACAAAUAACACUUCUAUGUAAAGAUAAAAAUUAAUUAUUAGGUCACAAGCAGAACCAUCUUAUUUGAUUGAAAUUAUAUUAUUUAUAUAUGAUUAUAUAAUUAUUUUUUAAUGUUUAUAUAUAGUAAAUAUUAAACCUCUUGAAUUAUUUCUUAUUUUUAUUUCUUUAGAUUUUAAACCUCUUAAAAUUUUGAAUUAAUGAAUUAUUGAUUAUUAUUUUUUGUGUUUGGAGAGGGGAAGUUACAAGUGUCAUUAAACUUAAUUAACGGUUUUAAGAUCUGUAGACUCGGGUUAGAAGCUGCCACGUUCAACAAUUUACACUCUCUUUCUAUGUCAAAUCAAUUCACUUUCUUCCAUAUACUAAACUAAUUAAGCAGAUUAUGUAACACAAUUACCAUAAAAGUGUUAAUUAUUUAACAUUUUGAUAAGAUGAGGGGUUUCUCAUAUUUGAAAAAAGCUCUUCAUAUCCGUUCUUGUUCCAGGCUUUUGGUUGCUUCUUGUAUCAGGUAUAUGUUCUGUUUGAUCUCUUAAAAUGUUUGUACAUUCAUAUAGUUUCUCAUUUUUUUCUUGUGUAGUUUAAAUUAUUGGUGUGAUAUAUUUAUUUUUAUAUAGUAAAUUAUAUUUUCAACACGUCCUCUCAUGUACGAGCUGGAAUUUCAUCGAUUAUCAUUUACUCCUUUAUUUGCUACGUAGUUUUUGCAUGGAUUGCCUCUGUUACGGGUGGUCUUUAAUUUUUGCCUCUUAAAUUUUUGGUCGGCUUCUCAUUUAAAGAAAUUUUGUAGGGGGCAUAGGCACAUGCAAGCUAGAUAUCCAAUUGGACACCCUUCGUCAGAAAAAAUAUUGCAUAUACAAGUAAAUGAUAUACGAAGUGAUUAAAUAACAUAUUUUGGACACCCUUGACAGAAUAGGUUGUUGUAGCCUAGUUGCUUUAGACCUUUUCAAUGGGUUUCAAACAUAUUGAAUGAGUUAGUGGUGGCGUGUUUCGUAAAUAUCCUGUCUCCACCACUAGGCUAUAGUACCCUUAUUUAUGUCAAAAUUUUGCAAGACAUAAAGUCUAGAGGACUUUUGCUUUGUCUAGCAUAAAUUUCGCAGGAGUUAAAGUUAUUGGGUAUUAGUUGUGUUGUAGCUGAUUCACUCGCAUAAGUUUAUAGAACUUGUCUUGUUCAACAAAGGUUCUGUAGGAAUAAGUUAUGUUUCUUGCGACAUAAUUUUGUGAGUUCUGAAAUUGAACUUUAUUAUACCUCUAUUGACAUAAAUUCUGUAGGAAGUAAGUUAUUCCAACUUAUGCGUUCUGAACUGAAUAUAUGUGUCUAACAACAUAAGUUCUGUAGGAAUUAAGUGACAUAACUUUUAUAAGGCAUAACUUGUGUUAUAUUUUGAUACGAAGAUAUAAACUUAUGGGUUUUAUUUAUUUUGUUUUGUUUUUCUAUGUCAAGUGUAUUUUCUGCUACCUUUUUGUUACUUAUAGUACUAAAGGGCAAAAAAAAAUCACAAAAUAUAGGGGCAUUCGUGCGAAUGACCCCUGAAAAUGUCACCCUGUGGUCUUAUGGUUGAUCCCUUUUGUUCCAAUUGUUCAGUCAAAAACUAGAAUUCCUUGUCGGAUCUGUAUACAAUACUAGUAUGACCAAUGGCUUUCAAACAUAUUGCAAGCGACCAUGUGACAAAUAACCAAUUCGCGAUGAAUAAGGAAGGUAUAUUAGUAAUGCUAUAAAUGAAUGAUCCAAUAUUGAAUACUGAUAAUAAUAUCAGCAAACAAAGUUCUCCCGUGCUUCCAGACAUAUUGAGCUCCACAUGUUCUUAUUCAAACAAAGAGGGUCGAUUCCCUAAAAGAUGAAAUCAGUAAAUGUCCGUUCACUAAAAUUGCAUGUAAUAUUUCUUAGGCAAUGUGCUUUUCUCUUAUUUUGAUUAACCAUGGAUUAUGAAUAUUUUUUUUUUGGUGUUAUAGUAGCGGGGGUCUCUUAGUAUAUGCAGAAAAUGUAGACAACAAUGAAAAAAUUGUUGAAAGGAGUCGAUUGGAUUCAAAAAAGAGGAAGAAAGUAGUGGUACUUGGAACAGGAUGGGCUGGCACCAGCUUCCUAAAGGAUAUGGAUAUUUCUUCCUAUGAUAUUGAAGUGGUGUCUCCGCGUAACUACUUUGCAUUUACUCCUUUGUUACCUAGUGUCACUUGUGGAACUGUUGAGGCACGAAGCGUUGUAGAGCCAGUCAGGAACAUAAUAAAGAAGGUAAGAUGAGUUCUUGUUACAACUUGUUUCGGGUGUGCAUAACUUACUCACAUAGAAUGUUCGCCAUAAACAAAUAAAUACAUAACAUGUAUCUUUAACUUAUAGUUUCAUCAGUUAAUCAUGGUUAAUAAUAAUCUAGCGUUGUCUAAUUUCCCUAUCAAUAUUAGUAUUACUCUCCUAAUAACCUUUUUUAAUUUAUUAUUAUUACCCGUUGUUUACUUUGUUUCAGUUAUCAUAUUACUUCUUGUUGAUACUAUUCUUGACAUUUUUUGGGCAAUGUGACAUACAUUAUUAUAUUUCCUUUUCAAACCUGUUGUUUUGUUAUGCUUUAUACUUGAGCCGAGGUCUAUCAGAAACAGUCUCUCUACCUUUACAAGGUAGAGGUAAGGUCUACGUACAUACCACCCUCUCAAGACCCCAUGUUUUGUUCCAAAUCAAUUUAUCGCUUAAUUAUGGUAAAUCAAUGUAGUUUGGUGUAAAUACAAGUAUAUAACUGAACCAUCCAGUUUUCUUCUCACGCAAUUUCUAAUCACGUUGCUCUUGAUUGUUUUUUUUUCUUGGUACAUGUUUUUCUUGAUUGAUACCUAUGUAUUUUUCUGAACUCUUGUUUAUUUCCUACAGAGAAAUGGAGAAAUUCAAUUUUGGGAAGCGGAAUGUCUGAAGAUUGAUCCUGAAAACCAUCAAGUCAUUUGCCGUUCUACUGUCGAAAAUUUGGUUGGAGAGAACAAUUUUUCGCUAGACUAUGACCAUUUGGUUGUAGCAGUAGGAGCUCAAGUGAACACUUUUGACACUCCCGGUGUUGUGGAACAUUGUCACUUUCUGAAGGUUAACUUCUCUGUCUCUAUUCGUGAUUAAUUCAGAUAGCGGAUUCAUUACACAUUUUCUCUAUACUAUGCGACUACAUGUAAUUUUAGACCUCAUAGAUAAAGUAGUUUUGGAUUCAUUAGUCAGAUUGAUGGUUUCUUUUGAUUUCGUGUGUGAAAUGGCAAAAAUAGAAUUUUCGUUUUCUCAGAAGAGUGAAUCAUGUGUUAUACAGGAAGUUGAAGACGCUCAGAAGAUACGAAGGACAGUAAUAGAUUGUUUUGAAAAAGCUGUCCUCCCGGGCUUAAGUGAUGAAGAGAGAAGGACCAAUCUCCAUUUCGUUAUAGUCGGAGGGGGUCCAACCGGAGUGGAAUUUGCAGCUGAGCUACAUGACUUUGUUCAUGAUGAUUUGGUAAAAUUAUACCCUUCAGUUAAGGAUCUAGUGAAGAUAACCGUCAUCCAAUCUGGAGAUCAUAUCCUGAACACGUAAUAAUUCACGAUCUUACAUGUCACCUUAAAAAAAUGAGAUUCCAAUAUUGGGAACUUAUUAGAAUCAUAAUGUAUUGUCUAUGCAGGUUUGACGAAAGAAUUAGCUGUUUUGCUGAAACUAAGUUUCAAAGAGAUGGAAUUGAGGUUUUGACAGGUUGCCGUGUUGUUAGUGUUUCUGAACAUUCAGUUAACAUGAAAGUAAAAUCUACAGGAGAAUAUGUCGUUGUGCCCCAUGGAAUGGUUGUGUGGUCUACUGGAGUCGGUACUCGCCCAUUUGUGAGGAAUUUCAUGGAAGAAAUUGGCCAGGUACGUUUGCACUAUGAUCCCCCUUUGUGUUUGUCUAUUGUGUUAUUAAGCACCAAUAAAGCCCCUGAUGAGUUGUGGCUGCCUCGUGUGGGCUCUCUGUGUUCAACUGAGCUCGUUGCUUUCGACUUGGAACUAUACAUACAUUUGCACCACAAAUUAGGAACAUAUAAUAAGGACAAACUCAUUCGUCUCUGGUUCCUUUAUUAUUAAGUUAUCAUGACCAUGUGAUUUUUUAUUUGGUAGGGGAAGAGAUGGAUCCUAGCAACUGAUGAAUGGUUACGAGUAAAGGAUUGUCCCGAUGUGUAUGCUAUUGGUGAUUGUACCACUGUCGAUCAACGUAAAAUUAUGGUAUGCAAGCCUUUGGCCAAGUAGCUACACUACAGGAUAUCUAUUCCCAACUCUGUUUUUUCUUCUUUUUAUGAUAAAUAACUUCCUAUGAAUAAGCAAAAUACAGUCCUAAAUUUCAAUGUAGUUUAGUCCCCUAACAAAUCGUAAUCAGUGAAGUACACCGCCAGCAUGCACUAGAUUCAAAAUAUUAUCACGCUUUCAUUAUUUUUCACCUUCAAUUUGCAUUUUCGUCAGGAAGAUAUUUCAACCAUUUUUGAAGCAGCGGAUACGGAUCGUUCUGGAACCUUAACUAUCAAAGAAUUCCAAGAUGUUCUGGAAGACAUAAUCAUCCGCUAUCCUCAAGUGGAGCUGUACCUAAAGAGCAACCAUUUGUUUCAAGUAACGGAGUUAUUCAAGGAUUCAGAAGGAAAUGAGAGAGAGGAGGUAGAUAUUGAAGGAUUUAAGUUAGCCCUUUCUCAUGUCGAUUCCCAAAUGAAGAGUCUACCUGCUACUGCUCAGGUAUAUAUCUGUAUUGAUCGAUGAUAUCUUAGUGUAUGUAAUCCCACAGUCAAAGGGAUUCUUUUGUUUUACUUCAUUUUUUGAUAUCAGUUCCUUUUCUGUUCACAUUGGUAGGUUGCUGCUCAACAAGGUUCAUAUCUUGCUGGCUGCUUUAACCGUUGGGAACAAUGCAACGCUAACCCUGAAGGUCCUCGCCUAUUUGGAAGUGCAGGGCGUCAUGCAUUUCGACCCUUCACGUAUGGCUUUUUCUUCUAGAGUGAAUUAUUUUCUUAUUUUACUGUUGCAUGUAUGAGAAUACAGUCCGUUAUACACACUCAAUAGCUAACUGUAGUAAAUUUGAGAUUCCAAAUUUUCUGUAUGGGUUGAGCUAGAGGAGCACAAGGGGGUUUACUUGAAUCCUCUUUGCUGGAAAUUAACUCUUGUGUGUAUACAGUCAAUUUUUGUAUAGUAGACGACGAAUUUCCUUACUUCUCCGUGUAUUUACUUCCUUAUAUUUUAAAUUCCCUCAUCAAAAUCCUGACUCUACUCUGUUUCACUCAGGUAAGCAUAGUUUAACCCAGAUCGUAGUGUUACUUAUUCAUCUCAACUCGACAAGCACUUCCCUUUGUUUCUUAAUCCUUUUUUAGCAAAUGAUAUGGCAUAUGUAGACCAUAAGUUUCAGAAGUCUUUUAUAGCCACACAAAUGUUAUGAUAUGUUUAAGAAUUUGAGUUCCAAGAUAUUGUUCUGCAAUGAUUCUAUGCACUUGCUUAAAUUUUAGAUCCGUCUCUGGUUAAUUCUAGAAUUUUGUGAUGCAGAUAUCGACAUUUAGGUCAAUUUGCACCAUUAGGUGGGAGCAAAGCAGCAGCAGAGCUUCCUGGAGACUGGGUAUCAAUGGGUCGUAGCACACAAUGGCUUUGGUACUCUGUUUAUGCAAGGUGAUUAAUUAAAUGUAUUAAUUCGUCAAUAAUCACAUAAUUAUGUAUGUUUUGAGAAGAUUUAGUCUUAAUUAAUAUAUAAUAUUUAUCAUUAUUUCAGCAAGCAAGUUAGCUGGCGUACAAGGAUCUUAGUUGUAUGGGAUUGGACAAGAAGAUAUAUUUUUGGAAGAGAUUCAAGUCGAAUAUGAUGCUUUAAUAGUUUUACAUUGGCUCUUUGCUACUUUUUGGUUACCAAAUGCAAUAAUUUUAUAUCUGUAUAAACUUCUAAUGUACAUCGAAUAGUAAUUAAUAAUUGCAAAAUUUUGAACUAUGUAGAAUGGUUUAUUUUUAUCCUCCGUUAAUAGUUGAGGUUAAAAAAAAAAACAUAAUACAUAAAUAUGUACUUUAAUUUAAUUACAAAUUAUAUUAAUGCCCUUCAACUUUGGAUGUGCAUAAGUAGAUACUUAAACUUGUAUAAAGUUGAACAAAUAAACACACGUGUCCAACAUGACAUCCUACAUAUUAUUUUUUGUCCUACUUGUGUUGUAACAUGUAGGACUCAUAUAUUUAUUUAUUCAAAUUUAAGUGUCUACUUGUGCAUAACCAAAAUUGAAAAAUAUAAAUAUGAAAUUAGGUUAAGUUGAGGAACACAUUUAUAUAUAAUUAUGCAAAAAAAAUUCUAUUAAUUUAAAGAGUUUGAUUGCUCAGAUAGUCGCUCUAACUUUUUAAAAUAUUGCCAUUAUUUAUUUUUAUGAGCAAAGGACGCCUAAAUAAAGGAAAAGUCCGUGAAAAUUUAAAAGUAAUUAUAUCUAUACGUACAUGGAGCUUUAUAAACUAAUAACAAAUACAAAAAAAAAAAAAAUAGUUACCACUUAACAUUUACUUCUCAAAAUUCACAUAAACAACAUUCAAACAUACGAAAUGUUGUAAACCAAUGAAUAAAUGUGAGUCAGGAAUUAAGUUGACGUUGGAUUGGAUUGAUUUCAAAUUGAUUUAAAAUUUAAUCUAAAUAAUAUGAUAAUUACAUCAUUAUAACUAUCAUCGCCACCAUCGUUAUUACGAAUCACUAUCAGCAAUCAUCACCAGUCAAUUACCCUUAUUAUAAACUAUAUUCGUUUCCCAAUACACUUCUCAAAACAUUUGAUUUAUUAUAUUUUAUUGUAAAAUUAUUCUAUUUAUUGUUCAUUAAAGAAUGUAUCAAAGCCAAUUUUGGACAUAGUAAAAAUAGUUGGAGAAAGUAAAUUUAAUAAAAUUAGGUGAUAAGCGUUUUUUUCCUUCACUUUGCACCCGCUUGGGACCGCAAAUUUCCAGAAGUCUAUUACAUUGCUUUGUAUUACAAAAAAGGAAACAUUUCUUUAUAAAAUAGCAUUACAUAGGUCCCUAUUUUAUAUGUCAAUCUUUCGAAUUUCAAAAGUUAAAUAAGUUUAUUUUUGAUUGUAAAUCUUUUAUACAUCUUUUAAAUAUUUUGAAUUAUCAAUUAAUAGUAUUUUUACGUAGUUUACAAAUAUAUAAAUUUUAUUUUUAAAAAAAUGAAAAUUUAAUCUACAAAUUUUCGAUCAAACUUAAACUGUUUGACUCACAAAACAUAAAAUGUGUCACGUAAAUUGAACGGUACCGCAAACACAAAAUAUGUGUACCAACUUUUGCAUGUAGCAAAGUUGUUGAAUCACACAAAACCAUCCCCAAUUAGACCAGAAAAAAAGAUACUACACCUAUAAAACGAAACUGUCCACAUGACUCAAUGCACUCCAUUUUAUUUUUACUAUACUUGUCUCUAGCUAGUUUUUUAAGGAAAAGAAAAAGAUCUAUAAUUCAACUUACCAAAAUGAUGAAGUUGUUUGUUGUAGCAUCCUUAUUGCUACUACAACUUCAUCAAACCACAACCAAACAUGAUCACAAGACCAAAAGUAAUGGUCUAAUGAUAAAAAUGAUUCACCGUGACUCAAGGAAAUCUCCAUUCUACGACCCAAAACUUACACUAGAAGAUCGUGUGAGAAGAAUGAAUAUGAGAUCAGAAGCUCGCAUUUCACAGCUUCUGAUUGACAAUAAUCUAGAAAAAUAUGUUGAUGCAUUUCAAAUUAUCCCAUUUGAAGGGUACGAGUUUCUUGUUCCAUUAAAAAUUGGCACACCUCCUGUGCCACAAAUUCUUGUCAUGGACACUGGUAGUUUAUUACUUUGGGUUCAUUGUGGCUACACCAUGGGUGGUGAACGCUCACCAUAUCCACUAUACGUCUAUUCACAUUCUUCAUCAUAUAUUGAAGAUGUGUUUUGUAAAACACCUAUGUGUGAGUUAAUAAUGCUUAAAGGUGAAUGUGGACGUGACUCGAAGAGAUGUGAGUAUACAUAUAGAUAUAUGUCAGGUAUGACUCAGGGAAAUCUUGCUUCUGAAGUUUUUACAUUUCAGUCACCAAAUGGAACUGAUGUGACUAUGAACAAGUGCCUUAUGUUUGGAUGUUCCUCAAUACUUUCUAAAGGCGCAAAUCAUGUUAGUGGAAUUCUUGGACUUAGCAAACGAGCUAUUUCUUUGAUUUCUCAACUAAAUCAUACUGGAUUUUCCUAUUGUAUCGGUAAUAUUAAUGACGAAGACUAUGAUUCAAACACAUUGGUUUUGGGAGGAGAGCCUGUAAUUUUGGAAAACUCUACUCCCAUGUUUAUAGUUAUAGGAAAAUACUAUAUAACCUUAGAAAAAAUCAGUGUGGGAGACAAGUUUCUUGACAUCGAUUCAAGCAUAUUCAAGAGGAUCAAUUACGAAGGUGGAAUGCUUGUUGAUAGCGGAACCACUUCAACUUAUUUGCCUCAUAUUGCAUUCAAUAAAUUGAAGGAGGAAAUAAGAUUUGUGAUUGGUACGACAUUAACAGAGCAUAUAAGCUCAAGACAAGGUGAACUAUGUUACCGUGGAACUAUCAGUGAAGAUCUUAAAAAUUUUCCGACUAUAGCAUUUCAUUUUGUUGAAAAUGCUGUAUUGAAGUUUGAUGCUCAAAAUUUAUUUCGACAAGAUAAAACUGACUAUUUCUGCUUGUCUGUACAAAGUAUGGAUAGUGACCGGCUCUCUCAGAAACUACCUUUUAGCAUAUUAGGGAUUUGGGCGCAACAAUUUAAUUACAUCGCCUUUGAUAUUAAUAUAAUGAGAAUGCCCUUCACUAAGAUAGAUUGUGACAUCCUGUAUGAUUAAUUCAAUGAUAAUAAUCUUUCAAUUUUACUCUCUUUGUCAUACAAUAAUCUUUCAAUUUUUAUGAGUAAUAUGAUAUGAACCAACUUGUAUUGAUGACUGAUAGGAAAUACAAGCUUUUAGGGAAUCAAAACUUUUAGAGAAAAAGUAAGAAACUACAGUCAUUCAACUACGAAACGCAACUAAAAGGAAAACUUUUUAUUUUCUCUAUCCACUAUUGUGUGUCAGAAUAAAAUAUGCACAAUCUUGAAAAAAAUUUAAUAUAAAGUGCAAUUUGAUUAAUAUAAUUUUACUUUUUUUUUUGUAUCAGACAGUGUCUAGCGGUCUUUUAUUAAACAUAAAAAAUGUCAAUAGGAACAAAUACAAGCAAAGGGGGCUAGGUCUUAUCUUAGUAAUCCUAAUGAAAUAUCUAACUUCUGCUAUCUAACAAGCAUGAAGAAAAUAAGAGCUAAAGAGAACUACGUAUUUUUAAUCGUAACAUAGUUUGUAAUACACUCCAUAAUGAUAUUACAAAUAAGAAUACUUAAAUAAUGUAAAAAUAUGUCAAUCAAGAAGAAAGUUGAUUUACCAGCCUCAAACUUUCUAUUACUAAAGCAUGAGUUAAAAAAAGUUUGAUUGCCCAACCACACUUGAUGAUUCAUACCUUCUUUACUGAUUUAUUGGAUCUAGUUGAGCCUAUUAAUACUGUCAAAUGAUUUUGUUUUGCCUGUCGCAUCAAUAGGUGUCUUGGAACAAACUCUUCAGACAUUUUACCGUCCCAACUAUGUUACCUUUCAUAUGUCUUUUUUUGCUUUUGUUGCUUUCGCUUCUUUGUUGCCUAAGUGCUAUAUCUCCUUCCUAGUCACUCUAUUAAAGCAAAUGUCCAACACAUUGUCUUCCUCAUCUUCAUCAAGAGAAUUCUCUCCCGAAUCCACUCCAUCUUCAUCAAGAGAAUCCUCACCCAAAUCAAUUAUAUGUGACACUAAGUCACUUGACUCAUUCUUCCUUGCAAGCACACAUUAGGCACAAAUACACGAGCUUGGGACUUAAUCUGCUAUUUAAAGCAGGUGGUGAGACUUGUUUUUCUUGGAUAAAAUCGUGGUCAUUCUCUGUUAACCUUACUUGCUUUUCAGUAGUCUUCAACAAAUCAUCAAAGUAAUUCGAACAUAAUAGGUCUCUUGAUGCAUUACUAGUAUCUUGGCUCUUCUGGUUCAAACCCUUUUCACUACAUGGAGAAUUAUUUUGACUAGUACGGGAAAGACUCUGACUACUAGUUGAUUUUUUGUGUGCAACUAGUGUCCAAUUCUUAGUUUGAUUCUCGUUUCCACUUGCAAAACAUGCUGCCAAGCAUCUUCACUUCAACUUCAUAUGUUAUUGUGUCCGGUUUUAGUUUUCCAAAGGAUGAUUCAACCCAAGAUUUACAAGAACGUCUAUCAUGUGCUUUCUUAGUAUCCUUCUCCACUUGCUCCUCCUCCUUGUUAUCCAGUGCAGCAAAAGAAUUCACCAUUGGGAUCUCUGUUAUCUUCUCUAGCUGAGGUCUUUUCCCCUUGUUUGGGGUAAAAAGUCGCAUAUCCUUUGUUACGUUCUAGACCUUGAACAAAGAAAUCAGGGGACAAACCAUGAAAGGAGAUCCAAGCCAGUGCAGUGGUUGUUUCUGCCUAUGGUUAAACCAUGGUUCCCACUUAAGCUAGGGCGGACCCACACUAUAUCAUUGGGGUGCAUGUGCAUUCGGUAACUUUUGAAAAAAUCAUAUGUAUAUCUAUUUUGAAAAACUGGUAAAAAUUAAGAUAAACUUACCGUGCAUCCAUAAUAAACAUAGAGUGCAAUUGGAAGCCUGUUUUAUUUUAAGUUUAACUUAUACAUUAUAUUUGAGUUAUGUUUAUAUUGGUGCACUCAAAAUCUUCAAAUCCUGGAUUCGCCUCUGCACUUAAGGGGCCUCAUCUGAUAAACCCCAUCUUUGGCACGAAGAAAGUAUACAGGUUUUUGGGGUGGAAGAGGCAGCCAACCAUUGCUGGCAGUAGCCAUCGUACCUUCCGCUAGGUUUUUAUUUUGUUAAGGAUCACGCUGCUAGUUUCUGUGUAACCUACUAUCAACUAUUAUUAAAAUGGUAAAAAUAAUUAUUUUCAUAUUAAAGUAGUCUUGUAACUUUGAAACAAACAAUUAUUUAAUUCUCAAGGGCAAAAUAGAAAAAAAAAGUGAUUGAUUUGUUUCUUGAGAGGAACACCAUAUUUAGGUGCAGCUUGUAGCCUGUUGUCGUGCCUAAGUGUGAGUGGGUUAUUAGCCAUAUUCAAAACAUAAUAUUAUGAAAUCAGUUGCUAAUUUAAGGAAAGAAGCAAGAACAACAAUAAGGAUGAAGACAAAUCCAAAAUUUGCCAAACAUCAUAACUCAUGACUAACAAUGUUGAUUAAAUAUAUAUAAAUAAAUACAUGGUUAAGAAGUGCAAUAAGGACAAUGUUGAUGGAUAAUCAUAGUUGGAUCUAAAGCUAAGCAUAAUUCUCCUAGCGUCUCUUUAGGUGGAAGUAAUCUAAAAAGCCUUUUGAUAUGGAAAAUACUAUCCUCAACUUUGUCUGAAAAAGCUAAAUAACAAAUAUGUUGUGUUAGCGCUGUUUCGUUAUUCUUGAAAAUCUCUACUUGCUUUAAGGCCUCGUAGAAUUCUAAUAUUGGCCAUCUACCUGUGCAUUCAUAAUUAUCUUCAAUUGUUAUAUGAAAAUCAAGGCUACAUUUUUUAAUAGUCCAAUAACGUUCUUCAAACUUUUCCUUCGACCAUGGAGUAAACGAAAGGUCUACACAAUUUUCCAUGUUUAUAGUGAAAUUUUUGUCUGGUUUUGGAUCAUCAAUAUCUUCGUUCCAUCUAUCUCCAUAUCUAAUGGGGCAUUGAAUAGUGGGUGAGAUGAAUAUACCUACAAGAAUUAUGAUUGUAAUAAAACUCCAUAUUUGAGAUACCAUGGUUAGAAAAUAUGACAAUGAUUUAAUAUUUUGGUUUUCAUCAAUUUUAUAGUAUAUACAAAACCUAGCAAUUCAAAUUUAAGUUGGACUAGAAUUCUUAUUAUUACGUCAACGUAAAAACGUGGUAUGAGUUAUAUUAGGAAAAAAAUUAACUUUUUUAAAUAAGGCAAAUCAGUUCUUCCAAGCUUAUUCAAAAAAAUAUAUUUUAUAAAAUAAAUUAUUUAAAAUCAAAUACUACUGAUGUUCACUUUUAAUUGUAAUGUUGCGUUUUUGGAAUGUCAAUGCGACUAAUUUUUAAAGUUAAAAUUUGAUUAUAUUAAUUUGAUAUUUUAAACAAAAAAUUUAGAUAUUCAAAAGUUAUACGAAAAAUACUUUAAAUUGCAUAUUAAUAUGAUGAAAAAAUAGUGUAUAAAAUGUUAAGAAGUGCAAUAUUGACAAUUUUUUGCAUAUUAAUAUGAUAAAAAAUGCAUCUUAAAAUAUGUUAGUCAAAGUUUUUAUAGUUUGACUCUAAAAAUAGAAACCAUGACAAACAUUAUUGUAGUACUGGAUAUCUAUUAACAUUAUCAAUAUAAUGGUAUUAUACAUUGUGCACUUCCUUGGUGGAGAGGUGUAGCUAAUGUAUGCUGGUGUUGUGUUCUAUUUUCUUCCAUUCAUAACUAUUACUAUCUAUUUGAAGGAACAGAGAUGAUGAAGCAUGCUAAUAAACCUCAAAAAACACCACAAAUGUGUUGGAAUGUUCAUUACAAUGUAUAUACAUGGCUAGAAGAAUGAAACUUAAAUCUUGAUUCAUACUAUACAUUUUUUUUUAAAAAAAUGUCGAAACUGAUCUUCAGUUGCAAUGUUGUGAUGACUUACUUGAAAGUAAGCAUAGAAAUGGUGCAGCUUGAUGGCAUCACCAAACAUGUUUGAUGCAUAUUUCACUUCAAUGAUUGUUUUAGUUUAUAUAUCUUCGUUGAAUAUGUAGGUGGUGCAUUGAAUAGUGGGUGAGAUGAAUAUACUUACGAGAAUUAUAAUUGUGAUAACACUCCAUCUUUGAGAUACCAUGGCUACAAAAUUGGAAUAUGAUUUAAUAUUUUGGUUUUUAUCAAUUUUAUAUAAUAUACAAUAUAGCAAUUCAAAUUUUAAGUUGGACUAAAUUCUUAUUAAACAGUUAAGAAACGUAAAAACAUGAUAAUAUAAUGUUGAGUUAUAUUAGGAAAGGGAUAAAAAAAUUUAACAAGGUAAAUCGGUUCCUCCAACUUUAUUUUUUUUAAAAAAAAAACUAAUUAUUCUAAAUCAAAUUCAAAUACUUUGCCUAUUUUUAAUUGUGAUAUUACGCUUUUCGAAAGUCAAUUUACUAAGAGCAACUUUCACAUAUAGAAGCACAAAAUUUAAAUUUGUAUGUUAUAGCAAAGUUUGUAUAAUUGCGCUCCAUAGCAAGUGUGUGUGUGUAUAUAUAUAUAUAUGUGUGUGUGUGUAUAAUUCGCUAUACAUAUACAACUGAAAGUUAUUCCUAUUUCGCUAUACAUAUAUACAAAGAUGCAAUUGUAUAAUUCGUUGGUUUCUCUUCAUAUUUAUAUAAUUUCGUUGGCAGGCCAUUUGUAUAAAUUGUUGUUAGCUUCUCAUUUGUAUAAAAAUCGUUGUUAAUUAGUCUCUCAAUUCAAUUGUAUGUGUGUUUUAUAUCUGUAUAAAAUUUGAAUUUGUAUACAAUUAAAUUGAAUUGUAUAAAACAAAAAAGAGAAAAAUUAUAUACAAUUUGAAUUUGUAUAAAACGAGAAAGAGAAAAGAGACUUUGGCAGGGAAUAUACAAUUGAAUCAAAUUGUAUAAAACGAGAAAGAGAGAAAUUAUAUACAAAUUGAAUUUGUAUAAAACGAGAAAGAGAAAAAGGCAAAAGAGACUUGGCAGGGAAAUAUUUGUAUUGUAUAAUUAUAAGUGUAUAGGCAUAAACAUAUGUUGCAUGUGUAUAAAUAAUUUUUUUCUCGCUUUAUACAAACGGAAACACAAUUUAUACAAUUCUAUUGUAUAAAGCGAGAGAGGGAGAGUGACGAGCGAAAAUAUGAGGAAGAUAGGUGACUGACAAACAAUUUGCUACGGAACACAAAUAAAUCAAACGGUAGCUACUAUAUUUAUUUUACAUUAUUAGUUUGUCAUUCUAUACAAUUAUCCCUUUAAUUAAUUCUUAAAGUUAAAUUAGAUUACAUUAAUUCGAUAUUUUAAAUAAAAAAAUUUAAAUAUUUAAAACUAUAAAAAAAAAAACUAUAAACUGCAUAUCAAAAUGAUGUAAAAAAAACAUCGUAAAAUAUAUUUUUAUAAUUUAACUCUAAUAAGGAAACUAUGAAUCUAUGACCAUUAAAAGUAGACGAAGAGAAUAAAUAUUUAUCUUAUAUAUAUAUCACAAGUAUAAAGUUUUAAUUUGAUUUUGUAACCAUAACCAUUAACCGCCAGUUAUGAUUGUACUUGCAUAGUCCUAAUAAGAUGGAGAUCAAACAAUGACAGGUUCCCUAGUUUUUAGGUAUUUGACAAGUCAAAUAGCGUUAAAAUUGGCUAUUACUUGACAGUUACUCCACUAGUAGUCCCUUAAAAAAGCAAAACAAACAAACAAACAAUAAAAAGUGGCUGUGCUGUAACUACGUUCAUGUAUGGAAAGUUUAAAAUUUUUGACAAAUUUCUCCUUAGUUUCCUUCUUUAUUAUAUAAAUUGAAAGAGUAAAGUGAAUUCAUUAGGUUGCAACACAAUAAUAAUAAUAAUAAUAAUAAUGAGUGGUUAUAGUUUUUUUCAAAGAGCCUCUAGGGCUUUCAAUGACUACCCUCAUCUUCCUAAACUUCUUGUGCUUUUCACUGUUAGGUAUUGUCAACUUUUGUUGUUUGUUUUCUUUCUCAUUUUAGUAUUUGCUUGUUUAAUUUAACAUUUUUAUUUGUCUUGUUUGUUGGGGGAUUCGAUAAAUAAAAUGUAAUAGUAGUAUACUGUAUAUGGGAUUCAAAACUUGGAUUUGUAACAGUAUUCUGUGAACGAAACAGAUUCAACAUCUUAUAUAUAAAACAGAACAUAAAAAUGUUUUGGGGUUCGAAAUCUGUUACUCCAUUUUGGAAUGAUUGAUCAGAGUAUUUUGCCAUAAUAUAGAAAAUAUGAAAAAAUAAUAAUUAUCAUUUCGAUUUCUCAUUUAGUUGUGUGCGCAAUGUUGAAACCAUAAAUGGAUACAUUUUUUUAGUCAACAAUUUGGGUAGAGUUUGUUUAUCUAAAGAAAAACUUACACUCAUAAUAGACACAAAGAUGAGGAAUUUGAAUCAUUGCAAAUGAAACUUACGCGGUUUAUACAUUCGUUAUAUUUAUACAUAUAGAUAGUAGAUGUUGAACUCACUCUGGCUUUCAUGUCGGUUACUUUUUUUAUAUUUUGCACCCCUUAGUGAAAAUCCUUGCUCCCGCCACUGAUUUCAGCAAAUCCAAACACUUGUGGUUACUUGCUUCCUCAAUGACCUGUCAUAUUUCACAAAUAAUUGUUUGAAGGUGUGACCCCUGAAUAUAGUGGACUACAUAGAUGAUUCAUAUCGCGGGCACUAAUUUAUUUAUGAUGUAAUUUUGCAGUGGCGGAGGGCUAGCUACUGUAUGUCACACUGCAUUUGCUGAUGCAGGUCAGGAUGAUAUUAUUAAGAAGAAGAAGAAAAUUGUAGUGCUUGGAACAGGCUGGGCAGGAACAAGUUUUCUUAAGAAUUUGAAAGACCCUUCUUAUUCUGUCCAAGUCGUGUCUCCUCGCAACUAUUUUGCCUUUACUCCUCUGUUACCUAGUGUUACUUGUGGUACAGUUGAAGCAAGGAGCAUCGUAGAACCAAUUCGUAAUAUUGUGAAAAAGGUUAUACACAUCAUCCAUUAUAAGCAUCAUUGAUCUAAUGUUUGUUGUUUUUCAUCUUCACCCUUACUGAUGCCUUGUCGCGUAUUUAUGUGUAACAGAAAAACUUUGAUGCUGAAUUCAAGGAAGCUGAGUGUUAUAAGAUUGACACAGUAAACAAGAAAGUUCACUGUAAAACAACCCAACCAAUUCAUUUGGGUGGUGGUAUAGAAGAUUUUACCGUAGAUUAUGACUACUUGGUGAUUGCUAUGGGCGCUCGAGCAAAUACUUUCAACACCCCUGGUGUUGUGGAGAAUGCACACUUUCUAAAGGUACCUUUACCAAGCAACUGUCUUUGUUAAAUUAUAGUCUAUGAAGGUACAUUUAUGUCUUGUGACUCAUCUUGCAUAAACUAAACCAAUACUUAAGAUAAGCACAAAAAUGAAAGUAUAGGUACACAUUAUAUAGUUCUUUGAAGAGCAAGCAAUGAUAUUUCAAUGCAGGAAGUCGAAGAUGCACUGAGAAUUCGUAGGACUGUGAUAGAUUGUUUCGAGAAGGCAAGCCUUCCAAGCAUAAGUGAAGCUGAGAAGAAGAGAAUUCUUCACUUUGUGAUUGUUGGAGGUGGUCCAGCAGGUGUAGAGUUUGCUGCAGAGCUUCACGAUUUUGUGAAAGAGGACCUCGCCAAGUUGUAUCCUGCACUUAAAGAAUACGUCAGUAUAACACUACUUGAGGCCGGAGAUAAUAUACUCAACAUGUAAGUAACAUUCUCUCCACAUACUACAUUAUAGCUUUUGAUUUUGAACCUAUGUUGGUCGGAUUGAAAUAUGCUUUUCGAUCAAUUGAUGCAAUUCAUACGAUAUUAUAGCUUGUAACUUGUUUGCUUGCUCACCUAUCUGUGAGGAUCUGCAAUAAGCUGUUCAAUAUUUCACCUUUUCAGGUUUGACAAAAGAAUUACGGCCUUUGCUGAGGAAAAAUUUGCUAGAGACGGUAUCGAGCUGAAAACUGGAUCAAUGGUGGUGAAAGUAAGUGAUCGUGAAAUAUCAACUAAAGAGAGAAGCACUGGACAAACUGUUAUCAUACCAUAUGGAAUGUGUGUCUGGGCUACUGGCAUUGGAUCUCGUCCUGUCGUUAUGGAUUUCAUGAAGCAAAUUGGUCAGGUAUGUUCAAUUUUAGUAUUACUGCAUUUCUUGUUAAUCUUUUCUUGUUUCAGCACCAACUCACGUUCGUACCAAUCUGUUUUCAUUGAUGGUUUGCAGACAAACAGGCGAAUCUUAGCAACAGAUGAAUGGCUCAGAGUUGAAGGAUGCAAAGAUAUUUAUGCUCUAGGAGAUUGCGCCACAGUAAACCAACGCAGUGUCAUGGUAAAGUUAUACUCAGAUUUUGAUUUCUUAUACUGAAUUUCAACAAUUUAGCAGCAUUUCUUGGAACCUGAAGGAGUCUCAACUUGCAACAACCCUCAUUUACUAAUCCUAAAUGUACUUAAGGGAACUUGAUUUUACUUAACUCUUCCAUUCUCCCUCUCCCUCAUAUUGGUACGACGUUUGAAAAUCAAGAUCAGGAAUUGACAGCAUUAUGCUCACACUUAUGGCAUUUUGAUUCGUUUGUUUCUGUUCUGAACUUUUCCGUUUCAUUUAGUGUUGAAAUAUACAUUUCAGGAAGAUAUUUCAAUCAUAUUUAGCAAGGCAGACAAGAACAAUUCAGGUAAUCUAAGGGUGGAAGAUUUUAAAGAAGUGAUCCAAGACAUAUGUGAGAGGUACCCUCAAGUGGAGCUUUAUCUGAAGAAAAAGCAGUUGAAAAACUUUAAUGCUUUACUAAAGGGUUCAGAAGAAGUUGCUGAAAUUAACAUCGAAAAGUUCAAGAAACUACUUGCUGAAGUAGACUCUCAGAUGAAAAAUCUUCCUGCUACAGCACAGGUGAAUGAAUAUAUAGAGAUUAUUUUCUCUUGUUUAUAUGCUUCUAUUCCUUAUCUUAUGCUUCUUCUGUCAUUACUGUCUAACUAGGUUGCGGCUCAACAAGGUAGCUACCUCGCUGACUGUUUCAAUCGCUUGCAAAUAUGUGAAGCAAAUCCAGAAGGUCCACUAAGAUUUAGAGGAACAGGGCGCCAUCGCUUCCAUCCUUUUAGGUAGACCACCUCUUAAUUAUGGACAUUCAUAUUUGAAUAGGAAAUCUUAUGAACUCUUGCUUAGAGUUGACAGUAUGUGUUUAACUCUGACCUUUGUUGAUCUUAUGCUUCGCGUCUGUUCGUUUUCCCUCUCUUACAGGUAUAGGCAUUUGGGGCAAUUUGCACCUUUGGGUGGGGAACAGACUGCAGCUCAACUCCCUGGAGACUGGGUUUCCAUAGGUCACAGUACUCAGUGGCUCUGGUAUUCAGUAUAUGCAAGGUAAGUAAGUCUUGUCAAAUUACCGUACACAGUGUUUACAUCAAACCAAACAAUGUAUAACUUUAAGAGUUACAAACUUGUGCAAAAAUACAUAGCAAUGGUUCACUAGUAAAAGUUUUGUGUAUAUGACUCUUUCUGUUUGGUGUGAACAAUAAGUGCGAGUAAGUUUUUCCAAUAAUGUGUUUGGUUUCAUAUUUCAGCAAGCUAGUCAGUUGGCGUACAAGGGUGUUGGUGGUAUCUGAUUGGAUAAGGCGUUCCACAUUUGGGAGGGAUUCUAGCAGAAUCUGAAACAGCAUCAGUGUCUGGAUUUAUUGCUUUUUUUUUAACAUACUGUAAUUGAGCUCUUCUUAUUAGUGUAGUUGAGAAAUCUUGUUCGGAUUGUAAUUUUUUAACCAACUUCCUGGUUCCAAGUAAUAUUUUAUCGUUAUUCUUUAGAACUCGACUAGCCUUUCUGGCUCUUACAAAGGACAUACAUUACAUAAUUCGACUUGUUUCUUAUAGCAAUGGCAUUUCACUGCUUGCAAGCAGGGGCCAGAAGCAGAAAUGAAAAAACAGAGAUCAAUUGAUCGUAGUCCCACCAUUACUGGCAAGUAUUCUAUAUCAUUAAUCACUAGAAAGUUACAUCAAUGAGGUACGAGAACAAGGGAUUUUUUUCUCAUGUAAAGGUGGAUGAACCACAUCAUACAAUUGUAAUAUCUCUCUGUUUAUUCUUCUAAAAAAAAGGAGCUCAGAUAGUAGAGAAGCCCUUUUACACCACUUACAUGAUGCACCAAACUAUAAACGAGGUUACAAUAUCCACAAAAUAAUUUGAUAUUUACACCAUUAAACAUCAACUAGACGCAUCUCUUCUCCCUUAUCAUACAGAAUAAGAGCGUAUUUAGGUCAAUCCCCACGAGGAAUAACACUUUGAAAAAUUCAGGUGUGUAGUCAUUUCUAGAUCCAACCAUCAAACGUGGGGAAGUCAACCUAUCAUUGGACCAGAUGGCUGGUUAGGUUCUUCAACUUUACUGGCCUGUAACCAAAAGAAGAUCUUUUUAAACUUCGAUAUGCACGGCAAUAAUUCCAAACAAGAAGUUGUGCCUUUAAUAAUAGAAUCAUAUACUAUGAACAUACACCAGUCUGCAGAUCCAUUUUAAGUUUGAGAGAACAUAUAUAAACUAUGAAAAUACAUACCACAACAUAUCCUUUUUGUUGAAGAUAGCAGCAGUCGCCGGCAACAGCAUGCAGCAAACUGAUGCUCUUUGUAUACAUUACUCAACUGGAGUCCAUGAUCAAUUUUGAACUGCUAUACUAUCUGUUUUUCUGUCGAUUAUAGUUUGACCCACGAUGAUUUGAGACUGAUUCCUUCAUCUCAUUUGAAAAGGCAAUAGCCAACUCAAACUUCCCCAUUUUUUUUAAAUUACUGAUCAGUAAUUUGUAAACAUGAAUUGAUGGGCAGAUACCCCUGUGCUUCAUCUCAUUAAAAAGUCGCAGUGAUUCUUCAAUAUUACCAGAUUUUCCAAAGCUGUCAAUCAAAGCACUAUAUGUCCGCAAAUCUGGUUCAAUUUCUCUCUCGCACAUCUCCCUGAAAAAUACUAAGCACAACUCAAGCCUGCCAACCUUUCGCAAUCCAGUAAUUAAGGUAUUAUACGAAACAAUAUCAGGAAUUAGACCAUCCUCUUUCAUUGCCACAAACUGAUUAAGCAUUUCAUCUAUUCUACCACACUUCCCUAAGAGUCCCAAAAUGGUGUUAUAUGUGAUCACAUCAGGUUUGGAUUUCAAACUCUUCAUCUGAUCAAAAAUCAGCAAUGACUUGUCAAGCUGUCCACAUUCAGCAAAGGCAAAGAUGAUCCUAUUCAUAACUGGAGUACUACUUGGAAAUAUUAACUCCGAAAUCUCCCGGACAAAUCUUAGUAAGCAGGCAACAUCAUUUUCCUUGAUAAAUGCCUGAGCAAAGAUAAGAUAUGUAGAUGAAUUCAGAGGUUUGCAAGAUACUAACAGAUCCUUGAAACACUGACAUAGGAGGUGAAUAUCGCUUUCCUCGAUUGCAGCUUUCAGAAGGCGAUCGUAUGCACUAGGGCGGAGGUGGAUACUUUUAUCAUGCAAGGUUCGCACUAGCCUAAUGGCUCCUGAUAGAUUUCUGUCAUUGCAAAACUUAUCAAUAUAUGUAGCACAGAGUUCCUCUCCUGAACUUUGAGAAUUGGCCAUAACCAUGAGAAUUUCUGCCAACACAUCAUCCACAAUUUCAGCGGGGGAUGCCUGGGUUGAGAAUGAUUGGCAGCAGCCAAAAAUACUAGGGGCAAAAGUUGGCCAAUUGAGGAGGACUCCAACUGGGAUGGAUUUAAUAUAAUUCUGUAUUAGAAAUCAGCAGUAAAUCACAACAUUAAACAACCAAAGAAAAAAAUGUACUUCCCUAAUAGAAAAAGCUAAAGCAAGUGACUCAAGAUUGUUAACAGGACUAGAGUCGAAAGAAAUAUAAUGUCAUAAUUCAGUGUUGCAAAAAGAGUUUCCCAAUCUCAAAUUGUGUUCUCUGAGUUGAUUGUGAAAUGAGUCUUACCUACACCCAUGUAUGCCAACAGGCCUCCAUAAUAUAAAAUACUGUUCAUACCUUCCUAGUUCAAACUUAACAUGAGAUAAACUUCAUGGCAUAUAACCCGAUCACUUUAACCAACACCUAUUUCACAUGCAAACACCAACCCUACCUCAUCUCUCUCUCCCCCACCCCCCACCCCCACCCCCAAAAAAAAAAGCUGCAAACAAUCAUCACCACAAACAACAUUUUCAUGUAUCAUGUCUCUUACUAAAGAUCAAAACCUUAAUUGUUGGACCUGGGCCAGCUUGAAUCAAAGUUCAUUUCUUUUGUCUAGUUACUGAUAACGACAGUAGCUCUAAGCACACUUGCACAAACAAGAACAACCCUAUCUAACUACUCUUCAUAAACAAAUAAAAAAAGCACUAACUUUGUCAAGCUUCAUUCCAUGAAAAUAAACUAUAGCCUACUCUAACCACUCCAAAAUAUAAAGGGUAAAGACCUUCGCAUAUCAUGUAUGUUCCUUUCCUCUCAAAAUCAAUAAAAAUAAGCAUUUGGCACUCACUCCAUUUAUUAUUUACUUCUUUGGCAACUCUUUAUUUCGAACUUUUCACAUAACAUGCUUACCACGGCAAGAUUAAAGUCGUAUUUUCAGCAUUAAGAGAAAACUAGAUAAACAAAUCAGUAUAUCGGAGGGGAUAAGCAUUUUCAGGUAAAAGAAACUGAAAAACCCAAACGAACAAUACUCACAUAAAGAAAGAAAUUUCCAGAGCGAUGCAAUGUGUUGAGUGCCCAAAAUCCUUUAGCAGAAGAGUGUACCCCAACAGAAACACUAUAGUUCAAUUGAUUAAAACAAGAACGACAUAAUAGGAAAGUUAAAGUGGUCAGCUUUGCUCUGCCAUUGAAAGCAGCUGCUACCAUCUUUUCUGCAGAGAUUUUAGGGGUUUUAUGAAACCCAAAUUAGGGUUUUAACUGCAUCGAGUGGCGAAAUUGUAGAUUCGAUGUCUGUUCAGAAGCGAAGGUGAAUUGGGGGAAGAGCCUAAAACCCCUAACUUUCAUGGUGUCUCAAGAGCUAAUAGAAAAACCCUUAGUUCGCAUUUUCGGCUGUGGAAGGACUGGGACAACGUGUAUUAUUGCCUAUCUGAUGUUUUUAAAACACAAUAACUUUAUUAAGUAUAAACAAAUAAAUAUAUAGUUUUAUGAUUAAAAAUAAUAGUACUAUGUAUUUUAUGUAUGUAGACGUUAUUUGGUUGGAGCUGAAAAAAAAAGUAUGAAAAUUAUUAUUUUAUAAAUAGUAUUUUCGUGUGAUAUGCUUACAGAAUAGUUUGACGCGACUUUAGAACAUACGGUAAAAAAGAAUUUUCUUGAAAAAUUGUGAAAUUCUAAUAAUGGCAUCAUGGCAAAAGGUUCAUAAAGUUCUUAAGUUAUACGACCUAUUACUUUGUUUUGAGCUAAAUGCUUAAAUUAUUUCAUAUGAUAUCAGAAUGCUACGUUUGAUAAGUUUGUUCUCACUACCUGAUGUUUCUAAUCAAGAUAAUGUAUUGGUUACAUGUACUUUCUGACUCUCACAAGUCACAAGCCUGUAUUUAAGAUGUGCUAGCUAAUCUCAAGAGAGAACAUUACGUAAAAUAGUUUUUAGAGUUUUUGUACUUGUUUGAGACUAUGGCGUAGUUACUAUUGUUGUUGUAUGAGUUUGUCAAGUUAUAUAAUAAUGUCUCUAGUUUCUGCAGAUGACUCAUCUGCCUAAAACAUAUGAAAAUAUGGAAUUCAUAUAGCUACAUGAGUUACAAAAGAAAAAGAAGAAUCAAGAACUUUCAAACACAACCAUUGCCUCAUCAAUGGGGAGUAACUAACCAAGGUGUAGUUAGCUAUUGAGGUACUAAAGAGUUGAACCAAGUGGCGAAAGGUUGCAUUUAGUAAAGAGUGAGAAGCAUAUAGAGGUUCACAACACUAUUGAUACCUAUGUUGCUCUGACUCUUCGAAAAUGUCUGACGAAUGCGUGUCAAAUACUCUAAAGUAGUGCAUUUUGGGGAAUCCAACACAGGUGCGGCAAUAAUUUUAGAGAGUCUUGAGUAACAUAGCUUGAUACUACUUUGACAACAAGAGAAGCAUCUUAAAAGGUAUGCAACAGAUGACAUCAAUCUUGAACUGAAAAUUACAUAUCCUAUGUCAAGAACUCAAAAGGAUGAGAAAGGUAUUUCUUGGUUAAGUAUAAGAAUUAAGAAGAUAAGUAGUUCUGAAGUAUCUAUAGAAGAACUUUUAAUGUCCAGUAAGUGCCGUCUGUCCAUUUGAUGCAGCCCUGAGUUUAGACAGAUAUUGAAGUGAAAUAACCUGAAUUAUAUCAUAUCACUGUCAUCCUUAAGUUAGAGAGCUGUAGAAGUUUGUUUCUUGAAAGAGAAACUGCAUUUCACAACAGAUAUGUAGAGAUGAUUAAUCACAAGAUGUCUAUGCAGACUGGGAAACAUCAAGAAGCUAGGGAGUAAAGCUAGACUUGUAGUCCAAACUCGAAAAAAUGAAAUAAGCAUACACCAAAGAACAUAAAAGAAAAAUUCUGUUUUGAAUGAAACCACCACCAAUGACAAUACCAACACACAGAAGAGAAACAAAGGUCUUUUAUCAAUUAAGCCACCACCAAUAAUGUAGGGAAGGAUACACAAAUCUAGGCUGGAGAAACACUAAUAUCAGAGUUACAUUGACUUCAACUGCCAAAAUGCUUCAGCCGCUUAAACCUUAAGAAGCUGCCCGGGGGUGAGGGGUGGGUAAGUAUGAAGAUGAUAUUAGUUACAAGUAUGUUGGAGAUGGCUAUGAAAAGAAAGUAGCAUAAGAACCUCAAGGGAAGACUAAGUCACUAAGAUGCAACUUCCAUCAUGAGACACUUGGGACAACAACAACAAAACCAGUGAAAUCCUAUAGGUGGGGCGAAAACGAGGAACCUAACCAAUAAGCCAAACAUAGUCCUUUUUGACACUUUCGGACAUAAGGUCGAUCAUACACAAACUUUUCCAACCAGAGGAGUGCAGCAUGUAAUAGAAAUCUUAAGUCAUUAAUUUGCCUCAAAAGCAUGAGAUCUUAUAUUGUCAUCAAAGUGAACUAUGAAGCACAGAAGUAAGUUUCUUCCCUUGCAAAAUUCUAAAAUAGCUGAAACAACAACCUAUAUAUAACAAGGAGGAAGCAAUAGCGAUGUCCAACAUUUUCCUUAGUAAAAGUAACUUGGCCACAUACUGCAACACGAAGCCUUAUUCAUAUUGUAACAAACAAGCUAGAAUACUAGUGUGCCUCAUAUAAGAUUGAACAAAAAUUAAAAGGCAGGACUGAAAAUAUAAAGAUCAUAACGAAAAGGGUGAGCUCCCCUUAUUUCACAUUAUUCCUCUUCAGCAUCUUCGUCACCAAAACUGAGAACUUGACAGACUGAUGGCUCCUUAUCUUCAUCACUGCUGAAAAAGGAUUUCUUGCCUAUCAACUCAAUCACUCUUUUGGCAGGUCCAGAAUCCCUAGGAGUCUCACUGACGGUGCACCGAGCAAUCCUAAUUUUAGGAAGCAAAUCAGGUUUCACAGUAAUGCUCAGUGGAGAUUUUUCACUUUCUGUGCUAGCAUGAACUACUAUCUCACUAGGAAUUUCCCAUCUCUUUUUUACCCUGCUUUCAGUACCCAAAUUCUUGUUUUCUGUUUGUGAUACGCGCGUUUUCCCUACAGAUAAAGAUCGUUUCUUUUCAUUUCUCUUAGUCUCAUCCUUAUCAUUCUCAGGUAAAGACCUCUUUCUCACUACUGAUGACUGAUUCAUGCUCUGAUUGUACCUACUAGCCACAACCCUCCCUGGCCUCUGAGGCUUCUUGCUAGCAGGAACAGAUUUUUCGCCAUCUUUGAAUAACUUCUUUGGCUGAACUGAACUCAGAAAUGCAUCAUCCUUCUUCAGAUUCUUCUUUGAUGCAAUUGUAGUAACUGCCUGCCUUGAAGUCAUAGUUCUUGCUGCAGCUUUUCUUGAUUUGGGACUAAGGCUUGAAGUUUUCCCCCUUUCUUCUUCAAUCUCUUGAAGCUUCCAAAAACAAGACUUUCGCCUGUUUUGUAUUUGCUGAAUUGGGGUAAUCAUCCCCUGCUUGCCCGAUGUCCCUGCCUUUGUCCCUGCAAAAAUCUCUGAUGGCCCCAUACUCAACCCUCGACUACGCGUUCCAGCGAAAAUCUCAGAUGGUCCUAAACUAAGACCCCUUCUUGUCUGUACCUUUGUUUUUGCACUCAUUGAUGAACUCUCAUCAAUCUUUUUCUUCUCCUCUCCAAUCUUAACACUCAUUUUUGGCUCCAUAAACUUUGCUGGCACAACCCUCCCUCUCUUUUCAACAAUCUUGAAACUUUUUUCGGCCUUUUCAAAUCUCAAUGCCUCUAAUUUCGAAUUCAAUCUACUAAUCUCCUUUUCAAUUUCUUCAAUUUCCUCAUCAAUCCUCUUUUCAUCACGGAAAUCGCUAUCCUUUCCACUCUUUCUACUUGUCAUGCUCAUCUCAUCAACACUCUGUUUAGAAAUGGACUUGUUUAGUUUGAGUCUUGAAUUCUCCAUAGCCCCAUUUGGGUUUAGCGGCUUGAAGGGCAUCGAAACUGACAGAUUAACAGAUGAAGAAUUCUCAAACGAAGGAGUUUGAUUCUCCUUGCUUGAUACAUCAGAUUCAAAGGAAUCCGUUAACCAAGAACGUUUAAGUGAAGAAAAAUCUGCAGAAUCGCCAUUAUCAAAAGCAGCAUUGUUCCAUAUCUGAACAUCUGCUGGAUUAAUCCCUUCUGGGUAUUGUAAAACACUCAUUUUUCUCAAAUGGGUUUCAAAAAAUUUCAGAAAAGAAGUAACAAAAUAGAUGAAUCUUGAAAAUUUCUUGAUGUAGAUGGAGAGAAAAGUUUGUUCUGAAUUGGGGAAAAUUGUUUGAGCCGUUUUGUAUUUUCAAUUUUUUGACCGUUGGGGACAGAGAAAUCAAACGUUAGAUUGUCCGCUCCAUCGUGGCCGUUGGAUAUUAAACGGCUCGAAUUGACGCUCCGAUUUUGAUUUAAAGGCUAAAAAUUGGGUCAUAAACGGUGGUUAAGUUCUGAUUUAACAACGUGCUCACGCUCCUCUCUCCCUUCAAGGGGAUAUUAGGUACUUUAUUACCUCUAUUAAUUAUAAGUUAUUUAAUAAUUAAAAAAUAUAUAUAUAAUUUAAAUAGUAACUAUAAAAUAGGGAAAAUAAUAGAGGAAAUACAAUGUAAUCACGUGGUUGAAUUAACUAUUUAAGUAUAUUAUUAAGAUUAUUUUUCUAUUUUUAAAAUUUGUGUAAUAUAAAUUUUGAAAAAUUAUUCUUUGGACAAUAUGAAAUUUGGGUUUGAUACUUACUUAAUCAUAUAAAGUUCAACCUUAAAACUAAAUCUUAACUAUUAUCUUAUAUUUGUAAUAUAAGUUACAAAAUUUUGAUUGUGAUAUAAUGUUUAAAUAAUUUACAAAAUUCUAGAUUGUAAUCUAAAGUUUUUUUAAAAAUAAUCUUCCAAUUUUCUAAAAAAAUUAAUUAAGAAUAUAUAUAUAUAUAUAACUAUCCAAAAAAGAGAUCAUAGACGAAAAUUUUUAACAAUUAUAUUUCACGAAUUGAGGGCUAAUUGAAUUUUAAUGAAAAAUUUUCAUAAUUAACGCUAUUAAUACUCGUUUUCACAAAAAUAUAAUCAUAAUUGACUAGCAAGGCUACACUUCUUUUUAUUAUAACUGAAUGUGUAUAUAUGUGUGAGUAUGUAUGUGUUCUCAUAAUAAAAGUGGGAUAUACUACAUAACUAUUCCCAAAAGGAUAUUAAAGACGAAUUUUUUUCAAUAAUCACACUUUACGAAUUAAGCUCUAGUUAAAUUUUCAUAAAUAACGCUAUUAUCACUCAUUUUUGUAAAAUCUAAUCCCAAUUGAGAUCUCUAAGGAUACAAUAUUUGAUCGCAUCUAUAUGUGUAUAUAUGUUUGUAUUCUCAAAGCAGAAGUUUGGAUGUAUGUACCAUCAAUUUUACAUAUAUGUUUUCAGGGGUCGUUUGGUACAAAAAUGAAUAAUGCAGCGAUUAGUAAUGCAAGGAUUAUUUUUAUCAAGUGUUUGGUUCAUUGUUUCUUAUCUAAUUUUGUGUGUGGUUUAAAAAUUUCAAACAAAAAAAAACUUUCCAAUUAUACCUAGAGUUAUUAUGAGAUUUUGUAUUUCAUGUAAUUGAGUUAAAGUAGAUAAUUAACGAAGAAUAUUUUUUUUAUAACAUUUUUAACUAGUUAGGAGAAUAAAAUUUUUAUUGUCAUGUUCAUUAUUUUCUCACUUAAAUUAUUUGAGAGUAAAUAAUUGUCAUCUUAAUAAAUUAGAGUUAAUAACUCAAAAGGUCACACAACUAUAAUGAUUAUAGAGAAAAUUUAUUGAACUUUGUUUUGUAUCAAUAAAUUUUAAAAAACUCUUUAUCAUAAAAUAAGAUAAAAAUAUAAAAUAAAUUAAACUAUAUUUAUACUCGAGAUGUGUGUGUGUGUAUAUAUAUAUAUAUACACACUCUUGUUUUAGACUACUUGAGUAAUGUUUAAUGAACUUUCAUUAAGAGACAAUAUUUUACUUAUGAAUUGUUCUUAAAUUUAUACAUCAAACAUUAACAUAUUAGUCGGAUUAUAAUAAUUUAUAUUAAUAAUAAAUAGAUUAAGUAAUUCAUAUUUUAGAAACAAAAAAUUAUAUCUAAAUAAUGAAAUUGUAAGCUAAUUUAUUUAAAUAACUUUAUUAGUAUAAAUAUAAAAUAUAAAAUAUAAAAUCAAAAAAAAAUAUUAAAAGGAUUUGAGGGGUAUUUUUGUCUUUACCUAGAAUAGUCCUAUGGUAUUAGAGUUAAUACCUCCAAAAGGAAGGUAUUAAUAAUACAUCACACAAUACCAUGUAGGAUGUAUUAACUAAUCCAUAGAUUAGUUAUACAUAGGCUCACAUUCCUACCAAACACAAUAUUAAAUUAUAUCAUAUCUAAUAUAUGGAUUAUUUUUUUUAAUACAGCUUACCAAACGACCCCUUAAAGUUCCAACUAUAACGUUGGUCAACUAUAUGCGAAAGAUAUGUACAGUGUAUCUUGUGCCUCUUUCAAACUUUCCUUUCCUAGAAUAGUUGCGGGCCUUAUUCUCUAAGAUAUGAUUGUGAUGUUCGUGUUAACUUUCGCUCACCUUAACUCUAGAAUAAAUGGAAAAAACAUGAUCAAUUUUAUUUUUAUUUUACCUAUUUUAACUUGAAUAACUUUAAACAUAUUAAUAAUUUAUUUAUUAAUUUAAAUAAUUUUAAUCAACUUAAAUUCAAUUUCGCUUUCAAUCACACCGCGUAACCACCACCUAGCACUUCCUAAAGAAAACAAGAUUUGAUGAUGCGUCAUAACGCAACAUAGUAGCCCUCGAGGCACAACCAUUCAGCAAAGACGAUCUCAUCAUAUCCAAGAUCGGAUUUUUUUAUUUUUUUUUACAAAUGCAGUAUCUAGCUGUCCAUUAAGAAUCAGAUUAUUAUCCAAAAUAAAUGCUAAAAUUUGUUCACACUAAAUCCAAAUUUAAGUUUGCUCUAAUAAAAAAUGAAGUUUGCUACUUCCUCUUGCUCAUUAUUAUGUGAGUAAUAUAUUAUGUCACACGCUCUCUAUUUUAAUUUGUUAAAAAAUAAUUUAUUUUAUUUUUUUGUUAAUUUAUAAAAAAGUAUUUGACUAACUGCAAAAUUUUAAAAUGAAAGAUAUCUUUUAAAUUUGUUUCAAAAUAAGUCAUGAAUAUGUAUAAAUCAUCUCAUUAAAAUGUGAUCAUAAAUUUUAGAUAAGAUUUUAAAAAAUUAUUUAAAAAUAAUUUGUUUGAUCAUAAUUGACAAGAUUUUCAGAAUUUGAUGAACAAUAUUUAAAAGAAAUUUUACUCACUCAGUAAACUUUUUUUCUCCAAAUAAAUACAUAGAAUUCACAAUUUUAAAAUUUAUAACAAAAAUAAAAUUUAAAUAUAAAAAUGUAUUCUUUUUCAAAGUGACUAAAAAGGAAAAGAAAUAUUAUAUAAAUUAUGAUAAGUAAAAGAUUUUAUUUUUAUUGUUAAGUGACACGAUUCCUUGAACUUUACUUUUUAUACAAAACAAAUAAAUAAGACAUAAAACUCCCCCUCUCCCCAACCCCACUGAUUAAAAGUAUAGAUUUGAUACUUAUAAUUGUCUUAUUCAUGCACAAAAACUUUUUCCAUAAAAUAGGAAGGAUGUACUAGUAUUAAAUUCCAUAGAUUCACCAUUUCCUAGUAAUUUUAGAUUUAUUUAAAAAAGUUAAAGUAUUUUUGUGUUUGAAUUUUUUUAUUAGUAAUUUUUUCUUUAUUAAGGUCACCUUUCAUUUUUUUCCUUUAUAAAAUAUCUUUCGUGAAAUUUCUAUCGAAUCUAUAGCAGUUUUCUCCUUUUUUUAGACACCCUUUAUUUUUCCCUUUUUCUGGAUACCUUUCGUUUUUUGUUUUUUUUUUGAAUAUUCUUCGUAAAAUUUUUAUAAAUCUCACUAGGAGCAAUAUUUUUUACCUUUCCUUUGAACACCCUUCGUUUUUUCCUUUUUUUUCAAUAUUUUUUAUUUAAUUUCUGACUCCACCACUGCUUGAUGCUAUAUAAACAACUCCAAGGAGGUCUGUACUAAACCUUCAAAUCAACCAAGAAAAAGAAGUUGAAACAAUUCUCAAAAAUCUCUACUUUUUAACCAUGUCUAUCACUAAGAAAAAAUCCAAUCUCAUAUUUGCCUUGAUGCUUUUGCUUACUCUAUCUACCAAUCUUUCAAAUAGUGAAAGGCUAACAUUCAAAGUUGUAUCACAAAAAGCAAUUAGCAAUACUGGAGAUGGAUCUUCAUAUAUUCUUCCAAUGUUACCAAGAGGCCCAUCACCACCAUCUGGGGCUAAUCCAUCGCCACCCUAUGCAAUGAUUCACAAGGAUCAGUAUACUUCACCCCCAAAAAAUUAGUGUUAUUCAAUGAAAUUGGUCCUUUAAUUAUAUAUUUUGAUCAAUAAACUUACUUUCUUGGUUGGGCUGAUGGAUUUAUCAUUUGUCUAUGUGUUUUGUUUACAUACUGUAAUUUCUUUAUAACGAUAUUGUGUUCUGAUAUUCUUUUAAUUGUUAUAAGAGAACUAUAGAGAAGCUAAGUUUGAUAAUUUGCUUUAAUUUACACAUAGUUCAACAUAGAAGCAUCAUGGUCCAUUAAUUUAUUGAGAUCAAUAAAAAAAAAAACUAAUACAAGCUUAGUUAUUUGGUUUCUUGUUCAUUCACAAAUUUAACUCUAUGAGUUCUGAGGAAAUAUAGCCAUCAAGGCACAAUUACUGACCAAUAAACAGCUUUUUACAGUCAAGAUUUGGAUUUACUGAACUGAAGUCAUCAAUUGUCAAUUCAAAAUUCUUAAUAACGCUAAUAUAUGUCUCACUGUCUUGAACAUCAUAUAUUGUAUCUCAGUAAUCAAAUUCCCCAUGGAUCCAUCUAUAAAUCACCCAAUCCAUCCAAAAAUAGAAAAGGAGAUGACAAUUGUUAAGAAGGGAAUUAAGUGUAAUCAUUGGCAAUAUUCAUGUAGGAAAAAAAAUUAUAUAUUCAACCAUCAAUGUGUCAUUAUUAAUAACACUUGUACUAUAAGAAAUUUAUCUUUCCUAUAUUCUAUUGUGUUUUUUUUUUGGUAUUGUAACAUUGUUAGUUUCCUAGCUCCUUGUAUUAUAUUAAAAGAAUUUGUUGAAUUUUAAUAAUACACUUAUACUGAUGAAUUUUAAGUAUAACAAAGUUGGAGUCCUCACUCUCCUCCUCCUAUGUGCUACUUUUUAUUUUAAUAUUCCUUUUUUCAAUUAAUAAAAAAAAAUUACUUCAACAACUUAUCAUUAUGUAUACUUAAUUAAAAUGGUUAAUUGUGUUUGAAACAGUUUUUAUAUUGGGAAGCAAUUAUUUGGAAUUUGCAGAAGCCAAAAUUUGUCCUGAUUAUUGUCAGCUGAAUAUUGCUUACAUGUAAUGACUAAAGAGACUCGAUGCAGAGGAUUCGAAUUUCGAAUUUCGAAUUUUGAGAAAAGGAAAGUAUUAGAAAGUGAAGUAAUUAAAAAGAGCGACAUCCUUUCUUUUUUAAUAAGUUUUUAAUUUCAGCUUUUCACGAUAUGUUUAACGUCAUAAGAUUAAAAGACAUUUUAAUAUAUUUAACAGAAUUUUUAUUUAAAACGAUAAUAUUAAAAGAUCUUCUUUAUUUUUUUAAAUUUUAUGUCAAGUCAAACUAUGUCAUUUUUUAAAAUCUAAGAGAGUAUAUAGCUAGGUUAUUAUGUGAUACCCCAUAAUCCUCAGUUAGCCUAUGACUAUUGUAAGCAUCGUAGAAUCUCUCAGUUAGCUAGAAUAUAUAAGGUUCACUCAACGAAUAAUCAGGGUUGAGUGUCAAUUAACCAAUUCAGAUUUGUAUUAAUUAAUAAUACUGAAUAAUUGUUUGCUAAUAAGGGGAAUUAACCAAAAUAGACGUUUACCAAACUGAUUAAAUUAUCAAUAUCGAUGUAUAAUAUGUAUAUGAUUAUGUAUAAUGAAUUUAUAUCGGCUAAGAAAAAGUAAUCGGUAAAAAGCAAAGAGCUAAGCCAUUUGUGUCGUGAUAAAAGUUAGACCUCAUAAAGACGGCCAGUAUAUAAUGAAGUUAAGCGGGAAAAAAAAUAAAAAAAGUUAAGCUGGAAAGAAAUAACAAAACAAAGGAUCAAGUUCUCAUUAUAAAUAUGGAAACAUCACACUGUUACAACAUAGACCUUGGCUAAACCAUGAGUAAUUAAGAUUUUUAAAACACAAGACAUUGCUUAAUUAGAUAAUAGUAACUCGAUUGAGGAUAAUUUGCUUGCUGCAUCUUAAUUUAGCGAUGCAUAUAAUACUUAAUAAUAAGCAUAAUCAUGAAAUGCGAUUCAAUUAGGUAGAUAUGGUGCCGUUGGUACAUAGCCAUUCACCAACAAAAAUGUUGUCACAAUUGAGAUUUGGAUUAAUAUCGUUGAAGACUUGAGCGUUUAGAUCGAAAAACUCUAUAAGACUUUCACAAGUAUCACCAGCUUGUGCUGCAUAAAUCCUUGUACAAUCUGGAUUUACAAUAUUUGUUCCCUUGAAAAACACUGAAAAAAAAUAUAUAUAAUGUAAGCUCAAAGAUGAAGAAAAAUAAUUUAUAAGCACAAGUGUGAAUUAAUUAAACGUAACUAAAAUAUAUAUACACCUGCAAGUCCUUGGUAUGAAGUUAGAAUGAGAAGAAAAGAGAGGACUAAAAUUAAGUAAUUUAUGGAAUAAUUUCUUGCCUUAACCAUGAUUAUUGAAUAAACAAAAUUGUAUUUUGUGAUUAAUUCUAAUUUGUUUAUAAAUUGAAGUUCUUGAGUGUCUAAUGCUUAAUUUGAUUGUCUAUUUAUAGUCCAUAUGAGAAAGAAUUAGAAUCUCUUUUGUUAGAAAAAAACAAUUAUGUUCACAAGUUGAUGUAUAUUGUGACAAUGUGGCAAGUUAUUUUUUCUUUUGUACUUUCAUUUUCAGCAUUUAUGAGUCAUGCUAAUUUUGCCGAAUGUACCUGUUCAAAUUUAAGUCUUUAUGCUUGGAAGUUAUAAAUAAUUGUUUAAGAAGAGUAAGCUUAAGCUAAAAAUGACUUAAUUAUUUUUGGAAUAAACAUUCGACUCUUUCACCAAUUGAAUGCCGUUUAUAGGGGAAUCUUUUAAUUUGUGACAAUGUUUUUCAUCUUACAAUAUCUACUUUAUUUUUAUAUCAAUUAAUUUUAUCUACUUCAAUCAUUUCAAUUUACGUGUAGAAAUGAAUUUUAGAUUUGCGCUUAUUAAAUUCAGAAAAUAAUGACAACUAAAUAUGUUAGAAAAAUAUAAAUAAAAUUUCAAAAGAAAAGAUAAUGUUAGACAAAGUAUUUAGCGGUCUUUUAUUAAUAAAAUAAAGAGGGGAACUAAAAACGUCUUCAACCUAUUUGAUUUGGUUCACUGUAGCCCUCAGUUAACUUAUUGAUUGAUUGAGUCCGGAGCCUAAAGGGUAAAAAAUGUUAACAAAAAUUUCAAAACGGUAUAUAAAAUUUCUUUUUAACCAAAAGGGCAAAAUCACUCGCGAAGUAGCGAUUUUGUCCACUGAAAAAAGCAAAAUCGCUGCUAUAGCAGCUAUUUGUUAAAUUUGUUUUUUUAAAAAAAAAAAAAUAUAACAAAAUCGCUCCCGAGGAGUGAUUUUUAAAAUAAAAAUCUUUUUUUUAAUAUUUCUUUUAUAUGUCGCUGCUUAGGCAGCGACUUGUGUAUAAUUUUUUUAAUUUAUAUUUUUUGUUUUUUUUUUAUAAAAAAAGUUUAAAUCAAUUUUUUUAUUUAUUUUUUAAAUCAAAUAGCUGCCAAGGCAAUGAUUUUUAAUUAACUUUUUUUUAAAAAAAAUAAAUAAAUCGCUGCCAAGACAGCGAUUUUAAAUCAAUUUUUUUUAGUGAUUUAAUUUUUAAAAAUUAAAAAAGAAAUAAUUAAAAAUCACAGCAAUUUAAUUUUAAAAAAAUAUUUUUUUUCAUUUAAACUUUUUUAAAUAAAAGAAGCAAAAAUAAAAAUAAAAAUUAAGGUAAUGUCGCUGCAUAAGCAGCGACUUACUUAAAAAGGUUAUAAAAAAAUAUUUGAAAAUUGAAAAUCGCUCCCUCGGGAGCGAUUUCGUUUUAAUUUUAUUUUUUUAAAAAAAUCAAAUUUAACAAAAUCGCUGCUAUAGCAGCGAUUUUGCUUUUUCCAAUGGACAAAAUCGCUACUUCGCGAACAAUUUUGCCCUUUUAGUUAAAAAGAAAUUUCAUAUAUCGUUUUAAAAUUUUUGUUAAUAUUUUUUGCCCUUUAGACUUCGAACUCUUGAUUGAUUCCCUAGUGUCUCUAGCAUUAUUUUUUGGCUCAUAUUUACCUCCCUUAAAUAAACAGACUCAAUAUUAUCGAAAAUAUUCAAGUAAACAAAAGACCCGGUCCUCUUAUUCUUCCUUGCCCAAAAACUUAAUUUUUCAAGAAAUUGUUUUAAAGUUUUUGAAAUGAAUAAAAUAACUUUAUACUACCUACAAUUUGCCUGGUAUAAAAUAACUACACAAAAUCUGAGAAAAAUAAAUAUUUUAAAAAUUGAUAGUCCUUGUGCAUUUUAAAAGCUUUUCCUUAAGAAUAAAACAAAAAAACUAAAAAUAAUUAUUUUGAAAUUUAAGAAUUUAUAAUUAUACUUUUUAAAAAAAUAAAAAAAUAAUAUCACACAAAGAAUAAAAAUGAUAAUUUUUAUCUCCUGCGUAAACUAAUUUUACAAAAAUCAAUAUUUUAACAUGAAUGAGGCACAUCUGUUUAGCUCUUAAAGAGUUGAGAAGAGAAUCUCCUUUCGGCCAGUUAUCAUCACUCGAUUUUGAAUUUGAAAAAUUGAGUUUUUAUGUGAUUUUGAGUUUUUCUGUGAUUUAUUAUUAUCUUCAUUUUUAAUAAUUUAUUAAUUUUCUUAAAAACACACGGUAAAUUUUAUAGUAAAAUAUUUUUUAACUUUUCAUUUCAUACUAUAUGACCAUUCAAUACCUUAGCGACGUGCGAUGCAAUAAAUAAAUUAUUUUGGCUAGUGAUCAAUUAUCACAAUAUAAGUCGUAACUUCAAUAAAAGACAAAUAAUAUCACUUCAUAAUUGAUAGUACAACAUAACCAAGUAAAUUUCUUGGUUUUACCAUGGAUAAGAAAAGGGAUACAAACAUAUAAUAGAGAUUUAAUUUGCAUCUAAGAGAUGCAUACAUUUAUAAUCUAGUACAAUAUAUUGAUUCAUGUCCAUCUUCAAGUAGAUAAGGUGCCAUUGAGACAUACAUAUUCACCCACAAAAAGAUUGUCACAGUUGAGGUUUGGAUUCAAAGAACUGAAUUUCUCUGCUUCAAAUGACUUGAUAAUACUAUCACAAGUAUCACCAGUAUCUACAUUAUAAAUGACCGUACAAGUUGGAACAGCUUGAGAUGUGACGUUAUUAGAUCCUGGAGUAAACAAAAACAAGUAAAAAAAAUGGAAUGUGAGUUUAUAGAUGAAGGAAAUGAUAAUUAUGUAACAAGUAGUAAAAUUAAUGCAAUGAAAUAAAUAAAUGUUCAUACUAAGAAUUCGUCGUCCCAUAGAUGGAGUACUCAAAAUGAGAAGAAAAGUAAGGAGUAAGGCUAAGUUCAAGGAAUUAUUGCUAGCCUUGGCCAUCAUUAAUCGAACAAAAUGUAAUUGAUUUUAAUUAAGCUUAUUGAGUAGUGCUUAAUACUUUGUUUGAGAUCAUGUGUAUUUAUAGGACCAUACAAGAAACAAUAAUUAAAAAUCUAAUUUCAUUAGUUUGUGAAAAAAGUGGAUUUUGUGUUGUUUAUUUCCUUCUCAACAUUUACUAAUUAGGGGAAUGUUGCCGACUAUGUGUGUACUUGGUCAAAGUGAGGUAGAAACUACAAAGAGUUUUAUAUAGAUACAAUCUAUAUAUAUAUAUAUAUAUAUAUAUAUAUAUAUAUGGAUAUAUUUAAUCAAAAUUAGAUAUAAUUUAUUUUAGAUAUAAUGUAUCUAAGUGAAUCCGCAUAUAUCUGAAAUAUGUAAUGAAUCUCAUCACUUCCCUCUUGUCUUGCUCACCACUCUCUUAUGUAUCUAAUAUCCUAGAUACAUUCAAAUUAAUUGCACUAGAUAUAUUCAUAGCAUUCACUUGUGUAUCUAAUGUUCUUGUUUCAUCUCUUUAAUAAGUCGUACACAAUUUAAUUUCUCUAUUGACAUUGAAACAAACGUAUCAUACAUAUUUUUACAUCAUAAGGUUAAGAUUAGAGCUAGAGCUAUUUACAAUUUGAUUCAACUCGACAAAAAUAUAAAUUGAAAAAUAAAUUGGUAAUAUUUCAAUUGGAUUGGUUUUAUUCUUUAAACUUUUUUUUUAAAAAAACAAAUUGAAUAACUGUUUUAUCGAAAAAGUUAUUUUUCGAAAAAGAGUUUGUUUUAUUAAAGGGUAUUUUUGACUUUUUGGAGUCGCCACUUAAUUUUUAAGGAAAAUUAAGAAAACUUUAAUUUUCAAAAGACUUAACAGAAAAAUCGAUUGAAAAUAUUAAAGGGGUUCGGAAUUCCUAUUAGCGUCUUAGGAAGGUGUUUAAAACACCUAAGACGCUCCGCUAACUACGGUUUUCCGACGACUAACUAUUUGACUAUUUUGUUUUAAUUUUUACAAGUCGAAGUUAAAACUUUAUCAGAAUCUACUUAACCAUACUUUGCAACUUUAAAAUAUUUAUCUUGCAAAUUUUCCUUAAAGUUAAAACUCUCUAAAACGGACUUGAAAUAUUAUUGUUUUAAGAUUUUUGUCAAAGUUAAACUUAACUUCAAAUCUAAGCAAUUUUCAAAGCUAAACCUCUAUUGCUUUAAAAUUUCGAUUUUAGUUUUUAAGUUGAUAAAACAAAAGGCGUCAAUGGGGGUUUGGAGUUUCCUAAUCCUAAGCUAACGACAUUGAAGAAAAAACAAGAUAAGCAAAUAGUAAAGAGAGAGAGAGAGAUUCGGGUCCAAGUUUCGGAUGUUGUUCACCUUGGCCGAAACUCGGACGCACCUGCUUUUGGGUUUUUGACCCAUUUUGUACCUGUCCUAAUCUAAACAUACAAAUAAGAUAUCAAAAUAAAACAACGAGGGCUCAUGCCCAUUACAAAAAUAAAAUACAUAAUAAAAAUAAGGUAAAGUCUUCUAGUCCGUCUUCUUUAAACUUCUUCAUUCUUCAUGGACUUUCGAAUCUGCAUUUCCGUCUUGAUAGGUUGACUCGAAAGGAUGAAAUUAAGCCCUUAUGGCUUUCUCAAGAUGUGGGCAGAGAUGAGAGUCCUUAUCGAACUCGGACAGGUUUAGCAUGCCACAAAUUAAAAUGAGAAGAGUAAAUAUAUAACCCAGGGCAACAUAAUCGGAAGAAAGUUAACUAACUUAAUGGAAAAUUACACACUUUAUUCAUGAAAGAUAUGUAUCAAUAAAUAACUCCACUAAAGGAGAUUGCACAGAGGCGUAUCGAAAAACUCAGCGAGACAAAUUUGUAAGGCAAGAGGGAGGGAACGAAAACAGCCAACAUGGCUCCACGAUGAUGAGUGUCAUUGAGAGACACCCUCAAUCGUGGACAACAGCAACGGCAACUCUGCCUAAAGGGACAGCAUCCCUUUCUGCCCUUCAAAUCACCGAAUGCGCUAGAUUUCGACAUUAAGGAAACACAUCAUACUACCCACCAUAAUACAAACCUCAAAGCAAAUGAAACAUGUCAAGAGCUAACUAAAGACUCGCACUAAAGAAAACCGAAUGAACAUGCUCGAAACAACACAACGGAUGCAAAGACUUCCAUACAAGAUGGAGCAGCAAGUUCAGAAAAUCGAAGUUAACUUCUUUAACAGCCAUGAAUCGCAGAAACUAACCAGAACAAACCCAAUAAAUCGCAAUAACAUUCACGACAGACAGGAUUAACAAUAACUCAACCUAAAAUCAACGACGAUAUUUUGCUAGAACUCGAACUUGAAUCGUCUUUGAAUCACAAAAUCAUCAAGACGUGCCACAAGUGCAACACAGACUUCGAACAAUCCAAACACCAUAGGCCAAAUCUUAAAUUUUGACGUCUCGAUUCAUUCUUUCAACUUGGGGUGAAUGAAUGAAGGAUGAGACAUCGAAUGUUCAGCAUCACUUCAAAUACUACUCAAUGAGAGAAAGGAAGAAAGAAAAGACAUGCUCGAUAAGAACGAGAACACAGAACCAUCUUCGUUAAAGUAUGCAGACCUCUAGACUAUAACCAAACAACGUAUUCAUUCAAAAGAACUACUCAAGAAACGCAUGAAUUGUAUAAACGAAUAAAACAGUCUAGCAAACUCCAGCAGACAUAUCCCUUAAGGUUACUCCAACAGUGACAAACAAUCCCAAAGAUGCAUAACAGAAAGCUCUCCACCCUCACCCCAUCUAAUCGAGACAAAAGGGAAUUUAUAUAAAAGAAGUGUUCACCUGUUGAGGAGCAGCGACGCCGGGAAACGAGCAGUAAACAGCGAUGACUCCCACCAAUUGAACACACGAAUGCCGGAGAUGACGGAACGAAUGAGCUCUUCUUAUGACUCUUCGUGACAGACCUGAUUUCUCUUUCCUUUUCGUCGUUUGAAGCAAACCAGAAGGAGGAGUGGAGUAUUUUCUUAUAAACAAACAGAACAAACCAAGACUUUCAAACCGAAAAUUUCCAAUCCAAGUUUCAAACCCCCGAAUGAGAAGUCUAAGAAGAAAACUCAAUAUCAGACCAGUCUAAAGUCGAUUGAGAAGAGAAAACUUGAAAACAGAAAUUAAUCUUUCUUGCUCUAAAAAAUAAUUUCUAACACUCAAAACUCCAACACUCUAAAUUCUCAAACCCAAAAGUGUCCAACCCCCUUUACUGAAGACGCAGGGGGGUUUAUAUAGAAGAAGAGAGACUAGGGUUUCAAAUUCGGAUGGGUUCCAAGAAUUUCGGCCCAUUCCAAUUCAAAAUCUCAAAAUCUUAUCCGAAACUUCGAGCGGGAAGGGAGUUUGAGGCGAGGUGGAGGGCUGAGAUGAAAUCGUUGUCCUUGCGAGCUACGUGGCUCGAUCUCAGCUAACAAGGACGAAGGAGGACGCCCUUUCGUGUCGUCUUGUGCACUGCAGAGUCGCGCGACAGCUGCAGUGCAGGUUUCCGUUGCUGCGAGUUGGCUGGGCGUCCUUUCCGAAAACAUCGCGCGUGAGGGAGACGAAAAGGAGAGAGUGAGGGAGACGCGAGAGGGAGAGACGUGUCUGGGGAAGUUUCCGUUGGGGGGUCUGUUUUCUCUGCGUUCUUUCGUUUGAUUUUUUUCUGGGUUUCUGUUUUCCUGUUCUGGUAAUCGCUGGGGAAGAAGGAAGGGGAGGGGAACGGAUUUGGGUCGGAGCGGGUCAUAAGGUUAAUGGGUUGGGUAUUUAAGUGUUUUGGGCCGGUUCAGUGAUUGGGAGAGGAUGGGCUGCUGAUGGUGUUAAAGAGUUUAAGGGAGUUGGACCUGGGGAUUAAUUUCAGUGUUGGGUCGAGGGGGAUGGGUUUGGGCUGGAAUUAAAAGUUGGGUUGAAGAUUUAAAGUGGAAGAGGGUUUUUGGGCUGGGAGUGAGUAAACGAAAGUGGGCCUGGGAUUGGAAUAAGGUGAGGGGCCCAAAUUUGGCUCUUCCAAAUUGAAUGGAAGAAGAGUUCAAUUUAAAUAAUAGCCAAUUGAUUUAGAAACGAAUUUGGGUAUAAAUUUAUUAACUAGCCUAUUUAUUUGGUAACACAACUAUUUAAAUUAUAAAAUAAUGAUUCAAAAUAUAGUCGUGAUUUAAAGUAAACUAGAUUGAUAAAAUACUUUCUAAACUUAAGAUAUACAUAUAUACAUAUACAUAUACAUAUAUAUAUAUAUAUAUAUAUAUAUAUAUAUAUAUAUAUAUAUAUUUUAAUUUUCGCAAGAUUUAUAAAACUAAUUAACUUAAAUGAUUUGACAAACUCACGAAGCUCGAUAAUUAAUUUAUACCAACGUGGGUCAAAAAUUGGGUGUCAACAACAACUUAUACACAAAAAUUUUAUAAUUAUAUUUAAAAUAUGUAAUUUGUAAAAAAAAAAUUAUUUAUUUCUAAUAGAUUGAUGAACUUAGACUAGAACUCCUUUAUUGAAAAAAAUCAUGAAUUCAAACUCAUUUAAUGAAAAAAAAAUUAUUGAAAAAUCUUUGUUCUUUCGUGCAAGUUUUGUACAUAUAAGUGUUUAUGGUGAAAACGGAUACGGCGAAUAUAUAGGACCGGCGGCUUCAAACUUUAUACUGGAAUAUCUAGUAGCAAUUAGAUUUUAAAAUCGUAUUUAAAUUGUAUUAGACAAGUCUUGUGUUAUGAGUUUAAACGUGAAAAUAUACAUGAAAAUUUUGAAAAUAAAUUAUUCAUUUAAAAGAUCACCUACUCAAUCAAGUUGGCUAGUGUAUUUCAAACGAUUUUGAAUGAUUUUUUUGAUUUUUAAAAAUUAGACUCAGUAUUCACAUACACAUUUCACACUGACCUAAUCGCUUUGACGAUAUGCAUAUCUUACAACCAUAUAUAUUAUAUAAAUUGAAUUUUUUUGGUUUCUACAAUUGUCCAUUGUUGACCUUUAGUUUUAUUUUGUCCACAACUUCUUUUUUUUUUUUAAAAAAAAAUGCAUAGAUUUGCUUGAUAUAAAUACACCAUAAGUCUAAGACAAAACAUACAUCCUAGCUCCAAGCAGUUCAGAAAAUAAAAGCGAACAAUCAAGCAUGGCUAGUAGCAAAGUUGGUGUCCUCACUCUCUUUUUUCUAUGUGGUAUGUCAUUUACCUAUUAACAUUGAUCUACCUUUAUUUUCAUUCAAUAAAAUUGUUAUUUCAUGUAUCUUUGCCUUCAAAUUUAACAUUAUGUUAAUAGGCAAACACACAUGAAGUAUACCAAUUUCUACCUGAAUUAUUAUCAAUUAUAUUUAUCAAAACACACAUACAUAAACUAUCAUUUGUUCAUUUUUUUCUACCUAAAAUAUCAUCAUCGUUCAGGUAGCUAAGAAAAGUGAAUAACUUAUAAUUGAAGUGUGUUAUAACAAUAGUUAAUGAUAGUUCAAGUAGGAAAAGUAAACCACUAGUAUUCAAAACUCACAAAAAAUGAUACUUCAUAUGUGUUUUUGACCAGUAUUUAUAAUCAUUUUAAAUAAUUUUUUAAAAAAAAUUUGUUGUUGUUGGAACAGUUUUUGUAGUGGGAAGCAAUUAUGUGGAAGCUCAGAUUUGUCCACAAUUUUGUGAGCCAAAUGUGGAUUACAUGACUUGUUCCUCUUCAGGAAGCACAAUACUUCGUCCAACAUGUAUCAAUUGUUGUCAAGCAACAGGAAGGGGAUGCCAACUUUUCCGUAGAGAUGGCUCUACAAUAUGUAACUAGUAAAUCAUCUUUGAGAUUUAUCAAAGGGGAUAUAUAUUACUAAAUUUCCAAUAAAUUAUGAUAUAUAUAUAUAUGAAAAAUAAAUUCUGAGUCUAUACUUUACUCAGAUGACCUAUAUUAUAUUACAUAUAAUAAUGGAUUUUUAAUGUUUGUAUGCGCAUUUGUUUUUGAGUUAUCUAAGUGUGUGUAAAAAUCCAAAAGUAAAAAAUAAUUUUUGAUGAAGAGUAAGAGCUAUCAAAAAGGGCCGGCUCAGCCCCAUCCGAUCCCAAGUCUUGAUGGUUAAUGAAUUUGAAGGGUUAGGACGGGCAUGUUCUUCAUUCGGUAGGGCCUAAAAAUGCUCAACUCAGUCCAACCUUAGAAGGGCUAUGGGCUGGGGUGAACUGACAUUUUUUUUCUCUAUAAACUCAUAAUUCUUUAACAUCAAGAAAAUAAAAAGAUUUUCAAAUCAAAUAUGAAAAAUAAUGGUGUCGUUUCAAUAAGACUAACAAAAAAUUAUUGUGUAAUUAGCAUUUAUCUCGCAUACCAAAUACGUAAGUGAAAUAAGAGAGUGAUAAGCAAGAUGGGAGAAAGGUGAGGGCGCGAGAUUUGUCUAUGUAUGAUAGAUACAUGCAAAUCUACUUGGAUAAAAUGUAUCCAAAAUAAAUUAACUUAAUUUUGAGAUACAUGUAUCUAGAUGUACCGAAAUUCGGUAUGGAAUUUAUAACAUUACAACAUAGCUUGUAUUUAAGUAAUCAUAUUAUAUGCUAGUGAGAUUAUUGUAAGUUACCAUUAAAUAAAAAGUUUUGACCCAUGGGCCGACCUCAGCCUAGCCUCGAUCAAGCUUCAAGGACUAAAGAUUUAUGUGGAUCGAGUUUAUAAGCCCUAAUUUUAAAUGGGGUUGAAAAAUCUUAUCCCAAUCCUACUUCAAUAACGAAAUGGAUUGAAUCAGUCCUAUCGGAUAAGCUCAUUUUGACGGCUCUAAUAAAGAGUAAGCUUAAGCUAAUGAAUAUCACCUUGUUUUGCCAUUUAUGGAGAAUCUUUUAAUUUGUGAAAAAAAAAAUCAUUUUACAGUAUUUGAUAUCAAUUAAUUUUAUCUACUUCAAUCAUUUCAUUUUAUGUGUAGAAAUGAAUUUUAUAAAAAGUAUUAAAGAUUUUCACUUAUUAACUCAGAAAAUAACGACAAUUAACAAAAAUUGUAAAAUGACAAUUAAAAAGAAAUAAAAAAAAUUAAUAUAUGUAAUCUCAUGAAUGAUUUGAAAAUUAGAUAAAUUGACUCUUAAUAUAAUUUAAUUUAAAUUUGGAACUAGUCAAAUAGACUCAAAAAAUCUGCAGCAUGACAACUUUAAAAGAACGUAUACAUAAUAAAUAUCUUAUAAGGUUUGAAAACUAGUCAAAUUGUAACGUAACGAAAAGAUAAUUAAAAAAUUGAUAUAAUCUCUUGAAUUAUUUAAAAACUAGUUAGAUUAACUCUUAAAAUUUUUAUUUUAAAAUAUUAAAUUAAUAUAAUCUCAAUGUACUACUUGAUCUUUGGCAUUUAAUUCUUUUUACUAUAGAUACUCCCAGAAAUAGCAUACUCAAAGCAGAUUAAAAAAAAAGAAUUCAAUAAACAUAAUUAAUAGCAAAGUCGGUGUACUCACUCUCUUCCUCCUGUGUGGUACGCCUUCUCUUUUUCUUUUUAUUAAGAAUUUAAAUAUAUAUUUUAAAAUCAAAUUAUUAAUACUAAAUAUAGAAAUAUAUCAUUCUAUUAAAAAUUGUUUUAAAAAAAUAAAAUUUUACACAGAAAGAUAGUGUUAUUUUAUCAUUCUAUGCCAAUAAUUACUAAUAUUAUGUUUGUGUUUGCAAUAGUUUUGAUGGUGGAAAUAAAUGAAGUGCGAGUGUACAAUGGAAUGUUCAAUUUGGGUGAUGUACAUGGCUUGCCCAUCACCAAAGGGAUGCGGACUUUAUGGUGAUUUUAAAUUAUUAUGUAAACCUUUUUUGACAAUUGUCAAAAGGGAUAGUAAUUACUUUUGUUUUUUUUUAAAAAAUAAUCAAUUAUAUUUCAUUGACUUUUUAUAGUAUAUUUAAUACAUAUGUAACAAAACUUGGACAUUAUAUAUAGGACAGUACAAUUCUAAUGAGAAUGGUAUAGUCACACAUACAUAUCUAAGCACCCAAGCGCACUUAGAAAGAGCAUUUCGGCUUCAGGGAUCGAGUUCUGAACAUGAAAAAGUUUGUAGUGAGGAGUGUUAUUUUUUAAUGUGUUUUACCUAACGGCUAGUAGAAAUUAGAUUAGUCAGACUUUAAUUUGAAUAUUGAAUACUGAAUGAGAACAUUGAGAAAUAACUAUAACUAGUUAAUAAUAAAUUUAAUGAUUUAGAAAAUCCGUUGAGAAAUGACUAUAGCUAGUUAAUAGUAAGAAUAUCUUAUAAGUGAACAAGUAAAAGUGAGAAGUAAAAAUUAAGUCAAAUAUAAAGACAAUUUGAAAAAAAACAUUAUUUUAUCAAUUUUUGCCAAUCAUAUAAAGAGUUUAUGAGCGCAAGUAUUGAACACUAACUAGGUGUUGGACAUGAACUUUUGAAAUCAUAAUUUAAAAUUAAUAUUAAUCUCUUUUUGGUCAAAGUAGAAAGGUCCAUUGAAAUUCAUAAAAUAUAAGUAACUUUACUUUUUCUUUUUCUUCAUAAUAUUGACUUACUGAUAUUGUUGCUUUUUAUUCGUACAUUAAUUGCCUUAUAGCUUGAUGUAGCCAUUUGUGUUGUUUGAUUAUUUUUUAUGUUCUUUCAUUGUGGAGAUUACAGAGUCUAUGAGAUGUACGUCCAACAACAGGUUGAUGUAUGUAUGUAUUAUGUGGGUGUAUUGGAUCUAGGUUUGCAUGGAUUUGUUUUUUGUGCUACGUCAUAUCAAGCCUUAACGUGUGUAUAUUAUGUAAAUCUAAGUUAUGUCUUAUAAAAUUUGGAAAAGGUAUAGAUUUUUUUUUAAUUUGUAUUGAAAAAUCAGUUACACGCUUAAACUAUUAUGAUGAGCUAUUACAAAUCUCUGCUAUUUAAAAGUGAAUUUAUUUACUCCCUAAAACUGACAUGAAAAAAUAAUAAUUAUUAUUAUUAAAAAAGGUGCACGUCAGGUCAUUAAAAAAGUAAAAGAAAAUCAAAAUACUUACUACACCCCACCCCUACAUCUCUUCUUCUUCACACUCCAUCAUCUUCAUCUUCUUCACACCCCAUUAAACUUAAAAUAAAUCAAUAAUAAGAAGCAAUCAAGAAACAAAUUACUUUAAAUAGGAGAAAAUUUUUGAGAGGUUUCAAUUUUUGGAGCUUUGUCGGACAUUUUGAGUGAAUUGGAUGAUCGAUUGAAAUGUGAAGAAAAUUAUUUUUCGAUUAUCUUGAUUUUUUAAGAAACCUCCACCAGAAAACAUGGAAAAAGAACAAAGAAAUAUAUGGCCAAAUUUAUUAUUUACAACUACAAACCGCAACAAACAACAACGGAAGCUCAUUUUUUAUGACCAAUCAAUGAAAGAAAUUGAAAGAAAAAAUUGAAGUAACCUUCUUGUGGGUACAUUUUAAAAUGGAAGAACUCUUCAACUCUACGGCUAAACUCCAGAUUUUGGAUAAUUUUUUUUGAUGGUCAUUCCUAAAAGUUUCUUGUUUACCAUUUUGCUAUGAAGAAGACAUAAUCAUUAGAAAACUACAAUAAUUAAUUAGAAAUUAAUUAGUGUAAACUAUAGUUCAUAAAUUAAAAAAUAAUUAAUAAAGAAAAGAAAGUAAAAAAGAUUUUAAAAAUGCAAUUUCUGACGUGGUGCUAAUGUGGCAGCGAGUGUAAUACACUGCAUAUUCUGAGAGUAGUGUUGCACAUAUCAGUGUGGUAUUAAAUUCACUUUGAAGUAGUUAGGGUGUGUAAUAGAUCGUUAUGAUAGUUAAAGUGUGUAACUGACUUUUCAGUAUAAGUUUAGGGAGAAAUUUAUGCAUUUUCCCUAUAAAAUUUUUUACUUUCCUCUCUCAUUAUGAUGUAUAAGAUAUCAUGUGCACCUCAUCUUCAAAAGCUUGUCAUCCUAAAAGUCUGUCAAUUCUGCUUGAUUUGUCCUGAUCAACCUAGCCUACAUCAUGAGCGUCACAUACACCUCCUUAGGAACUCAGCAUACUCAUUAAGGUUCGCCUCAAUAUCAUAGUAAUGGAGUACAAGCUUUGCUCUAAGCCUAGACCCGCACGAAUUUGUCUUCUAGGCUAGUCCAUAUUGAACCCCAAAAACACAUAUACCUUCCAAACUUUGAGAUAUGAUUUACAUAGCUCUUCACUUUUUUCUCCCAUUUUUCUUAGCCUAGAAGUCUACAUCAAUCCUACUUGACAUGCCCUCAUCCACGCCCCGUCCUAUGUCACAAACAUUACAUGAUACACCAAACAAAAUAGUAUUGCAGUUCGUGUAAGCCAAGGGUCUCAAAGUUUAUUGACCCCUUUCUUACUAGUUAUUGCUGAGAGGUGAACACCAUCUUGGAUUAAGUGAAGACAAGCUAAGUUAUAUAAAGAUUAAUGAUGAAACACACUAAGAAAUCAACUAGUAACAUGAAUUCAUUAUAUAUGAAUUUUAAUAAGGAAAAGAGAACCAAGAUACAUUACAAAAGCAACAUUAGUGCUUUUAAUUGAUUUUAUUCAUACAUUAUUAUUAGCUUUAAAUUUAAAGAUGUCUUCUCUUUCCCAACAAAAAUACUAAGUAAUAUAAGUUGUUUAUGCUUAAUAUUCCCUUGUCGAUAUUUUAGAAAGAGGAACCAUCAAGGCAUAUCCAUUCACCAACGAACAUUUUUUCACAAUUGAGAUUGGGAUUGAAAGUUGUAAAGUCCUUAGCAGACACACUAAAUUGUUGCAUAAUGCUGAAGCAUGUAUCUCCAAUAUUUGCACCAUAAAUCUUGCUACAUAUCAGAGCAGAAUUCGUCUCAAUUCUAGCUGCGAUCAUCACGAAAAUAAUUAUGGAGAAAUAAAUUAAUAGACAAUUUAACUAAAAUACUAAGUAAAAAUUAGGCUAGAUAUUAGUAGGUUAAAAUUUAGGCAUAAUACAUAUAUGUGUUCUUUAAUUUUGUGUUAUUUCAUGUUUAUGCCCUCCAAUUUUAUACGUACUAAUCACUUGAACUUGUGUAAAGUGGAAAAAGUAGACACGUGAUCCUAUAUGACAUAAUACACAUAAAGUACCAUGUAAUACGCAAAUUGACAUGUAGGAUGUCACGUAAGACGUGCGUGUCUAUUUAUUCAAUUUUGUAUAAGUUCAAGUGUUCACUUGUGCACAACCGAAAUCGAAGGGGUUAAAUAUGAAUUGAAGCCAAAUUAAAGGACAUAUUUACGGAUUAUGUGAUACUUACAUGAAACAAUUCUACUUUCUGCUAUGUUAACGGAGAGAAGGAACAAUAGAACAAAGCUGAAAAACAUGGUUAAUUUGUAGCUUGAUCUGGCCAUUUCUGCUAUUUAAUUGGAAAAAAAAUUUAAUUUUUGUGUUCUUUCCUAGUUUUUCUUGUCCUUUGGGUGGAUUACUUUGAUAAUAAUGUCAUUGCUUUUAUAGUGAAUUUACUUUGGAUGGUCAUCAACUUGAGAUAAAAAAUAUUAACAUUGUUGAGGAGAUUACAGAGUCUAUAACUCUGUUUUCUUCUCCAUUGCCCCCCAUUUUAUUUUUGUUGUUGUUGUUGCUCUUUCAUUGAGAUCUCCGUCCAGCAGGUGGUCCAUGUAAUCUUUGAAAUUUAAUGUCACAACUAAAGUCCAUAACAUGUAUUUUAUUGGGGUGUAUUGGACCUAGAUCUGCAUGAAUUUGUGGCUACGACAUAUAAAGCCUCAAAUGGCCCGUUUUGAUCCAACCUGUUUUAAUCCUAGCAAAUUUGGAUUGGAUUAUUGAGUUUCUCUUUGAAUUUGCUUUGGCAAAUGGGUUUAACGUGAAGUUUAAAGCCUCAAAUAUACUCGUGGAAGAUGCGAUAUACAUUUGAAAUAUGCGUUGUAUAUAAUUUAUAUACCUGAUAUACAACAAAAUGGGUCAAAAGCUUCAAAACUCAGCAACUGAAGGGCCCAACGGCUGGUCCAAGUGGACAGAAAUUAGACAUGGAUCUAAUUUCCUUUUCUCUAGGCUUAUUUAGCUGCCUAAUUAUAUUUUUUAUUGGGUAAUAUUACUGCUUGUUUACCUAUAAUUGUCAUUAUUUGUUUAAAUUCCACAAAUUAUAUAUUGUCGCAAUUCAUGUUAUACAACUCCGUGACAUGACAAAUAGAAGGAAAAGAGCGAUUAUAUGACUAUUCGCAGUCAUUUUUUUAGAAAAAUAUCCUACUUUUUGGAGUAACAAAUGGAUAAUUGAUCCAUGAUCAUUCAAUAUCGUUUAUUAUCUUUACCUUGCCAUUUGUCCGAUUUACAUAACCAGUUUUUUUUUUUUUAAUAAAGCUCAUUAUUUGUUAACUAACAUAGAACAAAGUCAAAAUCAUGAUUUGGUGCAUUGAUCUAAAAUGACCUAAUACCCUAGAUGUAUUGGGUUCAUUAGAAAUAUCGAAUUUAGUCCAAAACAACCUUGACCUAAAUGAGUGUUCAUGUUUAUGUGUUUAUAAUUUAUAGAAUAAUAUGUGUCACGAGAAAAAAUCAUUAUUCUUCGAGGUUGUAAGUUUAUUUUAAUUUAAAAAAUAAACCUUCACGAGCUGCUGUCCAAGAAAAGGACUUGAUUAUUUAUAUUCCAUUUUUUUCUAUUAUGUAUCCCUAUUCAAUUUAUUUCAAUAAAGUUUAUAUAGAUAUUAUUCAUGGUGCCACAAGCCUUGAAAUGAUACGAAAAAACACUUAUAAUCAGUGUGCCCCGCCAAUAGUAAAGCUUUUCUAGGAAGUUGGCAAAAAAAAUAAAUUAAAAUUGGCUUUACAGGAUCAUGUAAAGCUCCUUAUAAAUGGACUUUUGUUUUGUCCAAGAGGUGCAGAUUGUUACGAUGAUAUUGAGUGCAAAAUUUGAUAUGUGAAUGUUAGAAAUUGUAUUAAUUUCUAGGACGAAAAUUUAAGACACCAAAAAUAAAAAGACAAAGAAAUGCUGCAUUAUCACUUAUCAGUAACAUAUUUAUGAAUUAUUACUGUCGAUUGAUAUUGAUAUACUACUAACUUGCUAGGCUCCACAUAAUAAAGCAAUGGUUUAAAUUACUAGAAUAAUAAAAAUGUGAUUCUCCAUCAAACUGGACUUUUCUUGUAUAAUACUAGACGAAGACAAUUACAAGAAAAUUAAGGUCCAAGAUUUAAUCAGAUACUGAAGUCUAUUGUAAGAAAGUAAAAAAAAAAAAGAAAGAGACGUAUUGAAAAUAUUUAUAAUUCAGCGUAAGUAGGGGUGUCAAAUGAGCGGGUCAGGUUGAAAUUGAAAAUAUUAUAAUGGGUUGAAUUGAAAUCGGGUUGGGUCUUGACCCAUCUAAGUUUAUUUUGAGCUCAAAUGGGCUAAAUAACGAGUUGGGUCUUGACCCACCCAAUUUGACCCGAUUAAUCUCAAUAAUUUAACAUAUUGAUGAUUCACUUUUAUAAUCACAAUUUGAAUUUCCGCUCAAGAUUCUUUUGUUAAAAAAGUAACAAAUUGAUAGAUAAAUCCUAAAAGAUGUUGAAUAAAUAAUAAUUCAUACCUUCAACAUAGGAACAUAUCUUAAUAAAAAAAUUAGAACUUGAAUUGUGCUCAAUUGAGAAUUUUCUUCAAAUGAGUUAAACUUGAUGGGUUGAGAUUGAACCUAUUUCAUUAUCUUGAGCCCAACCCUUAAAAUUCUGGGCGGAUUGGACGGGUUACGUAUCUUUGGGUUCAUUUUUGACACCCCUAGGCGU